UAACUCCCUCCCUGGCCACCACUUGAUUGGCUACCCUGAUGCUACAAAGGAGCUAGAAGCCUUGGACCAGGUAGCUGAGUACUACAGUAUGUAUGGGUAAACCUUAUAACUUGAAUUCCUUUAAAUGAUCAAUCUUUCACAAAUUAAGUCACAUUGCUUGAAGGCCAUUGGCUUUCACAUGCCAGCUUUUGGCAUUUUCCAAAUCAGUUAAUACAGUAUUGCUUCCAGAGAUCCAUUUUGCUCUUUGACUUGCAGUCUGAGUCAAAUGUAAGCUGCUUGUAUUGGUUUUUUUGCCCAUCCCCCAAUGAUUGAAUUAGCACAUUCUGUAGGGAGAAUCAAGAAGGUGAUUCCCUAGAAAAGUCUUGGACCAUUAGUUCCUAUAGCAACCAAUCACCAAUUCUUGGCCAUCUAUUUUAUAUAACAAAGCCAGACCCAUUUGGGAGGUUUGGCCAUUUAAGCAACCCCUCUAUUGUCCUUUCCCCAACCAAUUUGAAGAGGCCUUGAGGUCAUUCAGGCCAACACCACAACUAGAUGCUUAAAGCUGCAUUGCAUAUUCAAACCAUGAUCCAGUGAUCAAAGAUUCACUCACUGUUUUUCUGUAGUUGGGAAGCACCUUGAACCUGUGGGUUCUGGGCAAUCCCAUGGAAUAGUGAGUUAAAAUUACCUAGGUCCCAAAAUUAUACAGUGAUACCUCGGAUUAAGAACUUAAUUCGUUCUGGAGGUCUGUUCUUAACCUUAAACUGUUCUCAACCUGAAGCACCACUUUAGCUAAUGGGGCCUCCUGCUGCCGCCGCGCCGCCGGAGCACGAUUUCUGUUCUCAUCCUGAAGCAAAGUUCUUAAGCCGAGGUAAUAUUUCUGGGUUAGCGGAGUCUGUAACCUAAAGCGUAUGUAACCUGAAGCGUAUGUAACCCAAGGUACCACUGUACUAAAUUCCAGGCAGAUCCUGAAUGAUAUGUGCAGUUUUCUUAUUCUUUAGCUGAAUUGGUGGUGUGAAAUUGGCAUGGCAAAAUAGAAAGAGGAGCAGGGAAACAAAGGGUGAGACAGACACAUAAAGAGAUCAAAGAAAAUUUAUUUGAGUGAGGAAAGUUAACCUGGAGUGGGAGUUUAUCGAUUUACAGUAGGUCACAAUUUACACAGGGGGUUACAUUCCAAGAAUUGUGCCCAAAGGCAACCCUGGCUCAGCUGGUUCUGUUCAAGCCGGAGAGGCUGAGACCAGUAUUGAUCCAAGACUGAUGUAAGUCUCCCCAAAAGGGACAUUCUGGAGGCAGGACUAGAAGGGGGGGGGGGGGGCUUAGACUGUAUCCUAAGCCUGUUCUGCUUCAUUAUGCGUACUUGGCAACCCAGUACAGAAUACUAUUUUAAAGGCUCAUUUUUAAAGGCAUAGACAGAGCAGCAGGAGUUGUCCAACAGCUAAAUGGGUUUUGGACAUGGUGUAACUUUAAAGGUAAAAGUAAAGGUACCCCUGCCCGUACGGGCCAGUCGUGUCCGACUCUAGGGUUGUGCACCCAUGUCACUUAAGAGGCCGGGAGCCAGCGCUGUCCGGAGACACUUCCGGGUCACGUGGCCAGCGUGACGAAGCUGCUCUGGCGAGCCAGCACCAGCGCAGCACACGGAAACGCCGUUUACCUUCCCGCUAUAAAGCAGUACCUAUUUAUCUACUUGCACUUAGGGGUGCUUUCAAACUGCUAGGUGGGAAGGAGCUGGGACCGAAAGACGGGAGCUCACCCCGCCGCGGGGAUUCGAACCGCCGACCAUGCGAUCGGCAAGCCCUAGGCGCUGAGGUUUUACCCACAGCGCCACCGUGUAACUUUAUGCCGGCUUAAUUUACAGCAGUGUGCUUUAUACCAGCUUCUUGGGCAUAAGGCCUGCUCCCUAAGAAAGCAAAUUUGACAUGGGCAAACUUGUUAUUAGUAAAGAGGCAAUCGAGGGAAUCUGUGGUUGUUAAUAACUUGUUCCCUUCCUCCCCCUAAAAAACACUUUGCUGGACAUAUUCUCAUGAGCUAGAAUGUGUCGGCCAAUAAGAAACAACUUUAAAUUUAGAUAGAUCCCAAAGCAAAUAUCUGAAAUGGCAUCUUCUCUAUUAGGCUAUUUAUAACGAAACAAUGAUAUAAAUAUAUAUGAUACAGUGUAGCAUAAGGCAUUUUAUCAGAGAACAACAAAAAGAAUUGUUUUAUAUGUCAGAUUAUAUAUAUAUAUAUAUAUAUAUAUAUAUAUAUAUAAUUUUAAUAGUGGCCAAUAGGCAAAAUUAACCAAGCACAGAAAAAGGCUUCAAAUUGUCUCACUAAUCACUGUGAGUUAAACUGCUAUGUGCGGCAACCCUUCUAGACAGCCUUCUUUAGCACAAUAUCUUGCCUGGGUAAAUAACAAAAAAGAACAUCUACAAAUGCCAGAGAAGGGGGCUUUAAUAUACCAAGCAAGUCAGCAAUUUAAUCAUACUGGGAUAUUAAGGACUUGCCUACUCAGCAGUAGACUCCAUAUAAGGCUGUGGAGCCAAUUGCUUUUAAUAUUUUUGAAGCAUGACAAUAAAACUGUAUUUAUUGGAUUUUUGCUCAGAUCUAAGCAGUUAUUUAGCAACAGCAGUAUUGUGAAAUGCAAUGGAAUCUUUUUAGUAUUGACGUUUUCCUGCUUCUGGUCUCCCAUCAUUUUGAAAGCAGACAUGUAUGUACAAUAACAGUUCCCUCUGGGCUUAGAGCAAUGAAAACCGCUUGUGAUCAUACCUGAUUACAGAAGGCAACUGGAUGAUGGCUAUUCAAAAAAUUGAGUAACAUAUUACCUUAAAUUUUGUGCACAAAAAUAAUGACCAAGUCUACAGAUGCUUUAGAAACCUAUUCUUCAUUCAGCAUUAAAGCUUUUUAAGGAGUUCAUUUUCAUUUCUAAGAUGAUGUUUUCUAUCAGUGACCUAAAGAUGCUUGUCAUUUCAAAAAAACAACAACAAAAACUGUCUACCCUGAAACCUGUAGUACAAACAUGCCUGUUAUCAGGAAUUGGCCAGGGCUACAAGGUACAUACUUAGGACAAAUUUUGCAAACACACAUUUUCACUUAAAAUGUAGUAUUUACUGUUGUGUUCACACUAUGUGUUAUGGGGCCAAGUAUCUUCUUCACUGACAUGGGUCUCGCUAGGAUGGCGGGUGAUCUGAUCAAACUGUUUAUUUGUUUCCCCUUUACUACCAUAUUCAUAUUGCCAGCUUCCACAUGUGGAACAGCUAUCUAGGGUUCCAUGACCUUUAUAGCUAAUAAUAUCGCACCAAUCACUUAAUUGGGAAAGGCAUCUUCUCUUAUUAUUUUAUCUGCCACUGAUCGACGACCUCCAUCUCUCAUUUCCAAUAGCAGCUCAUACCAAAACAUUGCUAAGGGGAGGCAACAGGGAUAUGCUGUCAGUUGAGCUAGCAAAUUUUUGCACUUUGUUAGGAGCAUCCUGCUUGCUCUAAUUUGAGAGCCAUGAACAUUAGGGUAGGACUACAGUUAACACUACGGGAGGCGGGUGGCGCUGUGGUUUAAACCACUGAGUCUUGGGCUUGCCGUUCAAAAGGUUGGCGGUUUGAAUCCCCACGACGGGGUGAGCUCCCGUUGCUCAGUCCCAGCUCCUGCCAACCUAGCAGUUCGAAAGCACGCCAAAAGUCCAAGUAGAUUAAUAGGUACCGCUCCAGUGGGAAGGUAAAUGGCAUUUCUGUGCACUGCUCUGGUGUUGGUGUUCCAUUGCGCCAGAAGCGGCUUAGUCAUGCUGGCCACAUGACCCGGAAAAACUGUCUGCGGAGCGGACAAACCCCAGUUCCCUCGGCCUGUAAAGCGAGAUGGGUGCAGCAACCCCGAAGUCAUUCGCGACUUUACUUAACUGUCAGGGGUCCCUUUACCUUUACAGUUAACACUAAAAACAUUUUUCAUUUAAUAUUUUCUUGAGUACAAUACAAAAGCUGUGUGAGAGAAAAAUGAUGCAUCUGGACAUUUGCUAUUAUGUUCCAGAUAUUCCAGGAAAUUUCAUUUGCAUUUAGCCUGUAAGUCUCCAACAUCCUCCUUAAGCAUUUUAUUUAACAGACAUUUCCUUUACAGUUAUCUUUGCCUUUAAUAUCCUUAGAUCCUUUUUCAACAGAAGCAUAUGUGAAAGGCACUUUGUGCUACAUCUUAAUCAAUAAGGGUCAGUUCACUGACAUUUACCGUGAGCUGCAUAUUAUUUCACAAGUGCUCCCAUUGAUGUUACUCUACACAAGUAGCAUGGGCAUAAUUUAGCUUGCAGCUAAAUGCUUUUAAAAGAAAUGUGUGGCUAAAAUAUAAAUCAAUGAAAGCUUCAAGGAUGCAGUGCAAAUAAAACACAAUAAUUUCCAGUUUGCUAACAACUUCUUGCCCUUUGUUUAGAAGGAAAAUUUGGACAAUGCAACCAACAGUCGAAGCAGGAAGCAAAAACUGAAAGGUGCUGUGAAAUCAGUCAUACACCUGAUGAACAGUGGAAGUGGGAAUUAUGGGCCCUGGUCUGCUUUGACACUGUUACACAAGCAUAAAACUCAAUUUUGAGGAAUGUGUUGCAAUUUUCUUCAUUCCAGACCAGAUAUUUAAAAAUACAGUCACCCUGUAACACUUGUGCCUUAAAAACUAGGAGCUCAUCUUAGAAUGAACCUAGAAAGCUGAGAGAUUUUCCACUUUUCCCAUGCUCUCUCGCCAUGGGUCUGAACUGUUUUGUUUGUCCCACUGCUUUUCCCAGGAAAACCCGCUGUUUACCACUGAAUCAGAACAAACGUCAAUCUGCAGAAUAACCAAUUGAUAUUUUUUUCUGAAUGAGCAGUAAGGAAAGAGUUUUCCCAGGGGAAAGUGGCAGGACAAGUGGAAGUGUGGAAAAGCCCUAGCACCUGGGUUACUGCAAAUGUCACAAAGCAGGUACCUGCCUGACUCCUCACCUUUUCCCCAGAAUGUUGGCACCCCUGGCCCCAACUACCAAGGAGAGUUAUUACAGACAAAGGAAAAGAAGUUCUGAGCCUGACAUGUGGUCUAAAGGUCAGAUAGGUAUCAAAAGGGAAAUAAAACGAUGGCUGCAAUAUUAUGCACACUUCAUUUGGAGUGAAUUCCAUUGAAAUUAUCAGGGCUUAUUUCUAGAAAACAUGUACAGGAUCAAGCUGUAAACUGGAAACAGAAGGCAUAAUGUUUGAAAUACUGAUUGUUUGGGGAGGGAAAGUUGUGACUUCAAUUCUCAUCUAGUAUGUGCCAGCCUCUUACAAUGUGCUUAACUGGACACAAGAGUAGUCAAAUUUAUUAUCUAUAUGUUUCCUACCAUGUAAGAAUUGUUCUUAAAGGGGCUGGUUUCAUACACCAAUUCCUAUAAAGUCUGUUUUUUAUGCUAACCAAGAUUAAUACUGUUAACCUUCAAUUUCCUAACAUAUAGGUGGCGGUGCUUUUAUGACACACAGACAUCAAGACAUUUAAAAUUACUGGAACAACUAGACUUAACAUACAUCUGAAUUAAUUUCGUAUGUCAAGCAGUUUGAAAACACACAUAUCUAUAUGAACCAUAAGUAAUAACAGUGCCUCUUUGCCAAUUUGCUUUGCGAUUAUAUUCGAAAUGCGUUUUCAGUAAGCUUCAAGAGCUUUAUUUAUUAUCAGACAACUGAAGUGAAAUAAAUUUGACUUUCUGUGGAUUCGCUCUCUCUUUUUAAUACCUUCACUGCUUCUAGGCUUUUUUAUGCAUGAAUAUUGUCACUAUUUUUUUAAUAUCUAUUUUCCCCAGGCAGAUAGUAGUGAAUAUAUCCAAACCAUCACUAUGAAUUUCUGUGAAAAGAAACGAUAAGUAGUGUGUCUAGAUAGGAAAAAGAAGAAACACACUCAAUACUAGAAGAGAUUGGAGGGGUGGGAUACAGGUAUUAUGUGUACAAAGUCAUUAAUUGUCAUUUUAAUUUUUACCAUUGAUAUGUAAAGUAAUUUUGAUUCACUAACCUUUCCCUGUAAAAGAGUAAAACUUUCCUCUAUUUUGUGUUGCAUUUUUGGUUGUAAAACCACUGUUUUUUUGCUUUAAAGGCUACAUAGGAGGGUUAAAAGAUAUUAGAAUUAUAUUUAAUUAUAUCCCACCUUUUUCCCUGAGAGGGACUCAAGGCAGCUUAUAGCUAAAACAGAAACAGCUAAAAACAUCAGAAAAAACAAAUCAUUAAAAACAGUUAAACAUUAAUAGAACAUAUAUAUUCUAUUAAAGCUUACAGAUCAUUACAAUAAAAAAAUCACAGCACUUGCCAUUUCCUUACAAUCAUUCAUAAGAAAGUCCUCACCUAUUAGUGGAAGGACAACAAGGAGGGGGAACUGGUCAAAUUUUUUCUAGAAAGGGAGUACCAAAGCCUGGGAGCAGCCACAGAGAAGGCCCCGUCCUGUGUCUUUCCCAAGCAUGCAUAUGAGGGUGGCCAGACCAAGAGAAGGGCCUCCCUUCAAGAUCUCAGGCCCCAGACAGGUUCAUCUUGCAGAUAUUCUGGACCUAAGCUGUAUAGGGCUUUAUAGGUCAGAAGCAGCACUUUGAAUUUUGCUCAGAAACGUAGCCAGUGGAGCUCUGGUAAUAAGUCAUAAGCUCCUUAUAACUAUCUCCAGUCAACAACCUGGCUGCAGUUCUUUUGAAUUAAAGUUUCAAACAAGGCAACCUAGGACAGUGCCUUCUUAGUGGUGGUGCCUCAGUUUUGGAACUUCCUUCCUUCUGUGAGACAGCUAGUGCCUAUUCAUUUUAGUUUUAGAUGCCAGUUAAAGACUGGUUAUUCAUCUAGGUUUUUUAGUUGAAUCAUACACAAGCAUUUCAGUUUUUAGUUGUCUGGCUGUGAUAUGCCUGCCUGCCUCGUUCUUAGUAAUUGUAUUUUAAUUGGUUGCAACAUACUGUGAAAUCGCUGUGCAAUGAAGAGAGGUUAAGAAACAUUUUAAAUAAAUAAAAUUGGGGGGGGGGGCCUAUCAAAGGCUUAUUUUCUAAUGUAGUAAUUAGUCACGACAAACCUAUAAUGUGUGUGCUAAAGAGACCUAAAGAAAGCCCAGGGGAUUUAAAUAGUGCUUUUGUUAGCACCUUUAAUAUUUACUAAAUGAUGCAUGGAAAACGAUUUUAGAUAGAAACUAUUAGGGAUUUAUGUCAGAUCUGUCUAAAAGACAGCCCAGUCAGUCCAAAAAGAGACUGAGGGCAAACCAAUCCCGGGAAAACAGGCAAACUGAAAGGUGCUUCAGAAUCAAUUAGACUAAGUAAUACAAACAUAAACCUACUACCCUAACCUACAGAUUCCCAGAAAUAAAUUUCAGUGCCACUAUGGGCUCUUCAAAAGUUGUCUUAAUGAUUUCCCUAGAACAAGCUUGGCACUGAAGGCCUCUUAAUGAGAAAAACAGAAUGUCCCUCCAGCUAAUCUGUCCCUCACUAAAUGAUUCAUCUCUUUUUACUGUUAAUUUGCCCAAGUUGCCCAGCUGCUGGCACUUGUGCUGCUUGAUAUUAUUAUAAUUGCCUAAGUUAGAUAUUGUCACCAGAUCCUACUUGGCAAGAAAAAAAAUAUAUUGUUUCUUUUUCUCGCAUAUGCACCAAAUCUGCUCCUGGCACAAAUACUGCAUAGCUGUUGCAAAUUCUGGUGAUAUUCCAGUUAGGGGUAACCAUAUAAUCAUAUAAUCCAACUGUAGAGUUGGAUUCCGAGGGUCAUCUAGUCCAACCAACGCCCUGCAAUGCAGGAAUCUCAACUAAAGCAUCCAUGACAAACGGCCAUCCAGUUUCUGCUUAAAAACCUUCAAGGAAGGAGAAUCCUCCCUGAGGGAGCCCAUUCCACUAUCAAACAGCUCUUACUGUCAGAAAGUUCUUCCUGAUAUUUAGUCAGAAUCUCCUUUCUUGUAACAUGAAUCUACUGGUUCGAGACCUAGCCUCCAGAGCAGGACAAAGCAAGCUUGAUCUAUCUUCCAUGUGACAGGCCUUUAAGAUAUGUGGUCUUGACUAUGCUACCACUCAGUGGAUUUGUAACUGGCUGACUGACCGAACCCAAAGGGUGCUCAUCAAUGGUUCCUCUUCAUCCUGGAGAAGAGUGACUAGUGGGGUACCACAGGGUUCUGUCUUGGGCCUGGUCUUAUUCAACAUCUUUAUCAACAACUUGGAUGAUGGACUCAAGGGCAUCCUGAUCAAAUUUGCAGAUGACACCAAACUGGGAGGGGUGGCUAACACCCCAGAGGACAGGAUCACACUUCAAAACGACCUUGACAGAUUAGAGAACUGGGCCAAAACAAACAAGAUGAAUUUUAACAGGGAGAAAUGUAAAGUAUUGCACUUGGGCAAAAAAAUGAGAGGCACAAAUACAAGAUGGGUGACACCUGGCUUGAGAGCAGUACAUGUGAAAAGGAUCUAGGAGUCUUGGUUGACCACAAACUUGACAUGAGCCAACAGUGUGACGCGGCAGCUAAAAAGCCAAUGCAAUUCUGGGCUGCAUCAAUAGGAGUAUAGCAUCUAGAUCAAGGGAAGUAAUGGUGCCACUGUAUUCUGCUCUGGUCAGACCUCACCUGGAGUACUGUGUCCAGUUCUGGGCACCACAGUUCAAGAAGGACACUGACAAACUGGAACGUGUCCAGAGGAGGGCAACCAAAAUGGUCAAAGGCCUGGAAACGAUGCCUUAUGAGGAACGGCUAAGGGAGCUGGGCAUGUUUAGCCUGGAGAAGAGGAGGUUAAGGGGUGAUAUGAUAGCCAUGUUCAAAUAUAUAAAAGGAUGUCACAUAGAGGAGGGAGAAAGGUUGUUUUCUGUUGCUCCAGAGAAGCGGACAUGGAGCAAUGGAUCCAAACUACAAGAAAGAAGAUUCCACCUAAACAUUAGGAAGAACUUCCUGACAGUAAGAGCUGUUCGACAGUGGAAUUUGCUGCCAAGGAGUGUGGUGGAGUCUCCUUCUUUGGAGGUCUUUAAGCAGAGGCUUGACAACCAUAUGUCAGGAGUGCUCUGAUGGUGUUUCCUGCUUGGCAGGGGGUUGGACUCGAUGGCCCUUGUGGUCUCUUCCAACUCUAUGAUUCUAUGAUUCUAUAUUUGAAGGUGGCUAUCAUAUUUCCUCUCAUUGUUCUGGCAAACAUACCCAAUUCCCUCAACUGUUCUUCAUAAGGCUUGGUUUCUAGACCCUUGACCCUCGCCCUCCUCUGCACAUGUUCUAGCUUGUUGAUAUUCUCCUUUAAUAGUGGUGCCCUGAACUGGACACAGUACUACAGGUAUGGUCUGAUGAAAGCAGAAUGGAGUGGGACUAUUACUUCCCUUGAUUGGAACACUAGACUUUUGCUGAAGCAGCCUAGAAUAGCAUUAGCUUAUUUUUUUAAUAUUGCCUUUUCCCUGCUCCUUCCCGGUUCCCAACCCUUUCCCCCUUUUGGCCAUUCACAGAGCUGAGUGUCUAAUAGACCCUAUGGUGUGAUUCAUCAUGCAAAGAGAAAUUAUACUGAAAAGAUACUGCACAAAACCUUUGGAAAGGGGAUUUUCUUCUUCUCAAGCUGGGAGUAAUAUGGAAAUUUUGCCCAAGGUCUGAUGGCCCGGCCUUAAACUCUAACCUCUCUUUGUUGGAAAUAGCUAGCUUGCUGUCACUAAGAAGCUUUCCAGUUCGACUUUAUUUGACUGUAAGUCAGAAAGCUGUUGGCCAAUAAUAAUUUCCUUUCUCUUUCUUUACCACAGCAUUUUAUGCUCUUGGUCUUUUUGUGAUCUAGUUUUGCUAACUGACAUGCCUUGCCCUGCACAAAGAAGCAGCCAAAUAGACUCAUAGUUACUAUGGUCUUGUUUGUGCUUCGCAUAAAGUCACAAUGUGGAAGAAUGAAACUUAUAGCAUGUGCCACAUACAAUAAAAUAAAAAGAUGCUUAUAAAGUCAUCCUUCAGGAUAUAAUAAAUUACAACACUAACUUAUCUUAAACAAUUGUGCAUGUCUGAAAGUAUGCAUAAAUGAAUAUUUUGUCUAUUAGCUUGAAUAACUUAGACCCUGAAUACAGCUCAUCAUAAUCUGAUCAUUAACAUUUCUUAGGUUAUUGAUGGGGUCAUUCGCCACUAUCUGUGCAGGACUUGUUCCCUGCCUCGCCACUGAAAUGCUUUCAAACAUUCUUAGCAGAUUUCUGUCAAAAGUCUAUAUUGUGUAUGUCUUGCUUGUCUCGGGGCCAAACCAGACGUUGUUUGGAAGUUUUGUGAUUAAGUCUCCUAGAGGUUCUUGCUAAAUUCCAGAGGAGACACUGCAUUGCUCAAUAGUAUAUAUACCACACUUUCUAUGUAUAAGGCAUGAAAUUAAGUGGGCAAAGUGGAAGUAGAUAUUUUACUAAAGUUUCUGUGGAUUAUUGUUGCUGCCUCCAAUUCAUAAGAGUUUGUGUAAAAUAGUGGUUAGGAAUCCAACUCCAAUCCACCUCUGUUUAUAUGGCGGAAUAUUAUCUAAAUCACAAUUACAUCAGAACAAAAUAUAAUGGGAGAAUAAUGUCAUGGAAAUUGAUAAACAGCUUUUUUCCCCCUACUGAAGAAAUGUGAUUUACACAUUUCCAUCCAAUUUAAAAAGGAAGUUAAAGAACUAUAUUUAGCAUUUGGGUCUUGGCAGAUUGAAAAAAGGGUAUCCCACACUUCAGUGAUCCAAAGGGACUACCAUUAAUCCAAGGAAUGCAGAAAUGUAUUUUCCUUGUCGAAUGGAUUGGUUCCCAUGGAAGCACUCCAGUAGUACAGAAUUGAACUGCACCAUACAUAUCAAUGAAAUAUAUACUCAAACAUAAAAUACCAAACUCUUCCGGGUAAAUAACAUUGUUUAUCAAGCUGUUUUAACUGGCUGAUGGAUAAUCUUUUUUCUUUUUACAUCAGACCCGGUAUAUUUUAAAGAGAAAAAAAGUAUUUAUGAUCUAAUGAGACACAAUUUUUUCAAAUUCCAUGCCAGUAUAUCCCUCAGAGUUUCCACCUGACACAAAGUAUACACAAAUUUGGCCUUUGUGGAUGAUAAAUGAAGUGCAGGAAAUUGGGGGCAAGUAUUGAUGGUAUAGGGCAAUGGCAAAACAGGAAUGGCUUAAUUUUCAGGCUACGAUGUACAAAUAGCUCUCAUUUAUUUUAAUGGUAGAAGUGGGUGCUCAGUUCUUCUGAAAAUCAAUUCACUGCCAUGUACUUUGACUGCUAGGAAAUCUUCCAAAUCUGUAGUUGUUAUAAAAAGACAUUACCUCUUUAUAACGUUAGACAGCAAACACACAAACAAAUGAUUUACUUUACAAUAGGAGUGGCACAACAGUAAGGGAAAUUACUAUUAUAAAAAUAUAGUUUUGUGUGAUUAGAAAUUAAUACUUAAGAGUAAUAAUGUCUCUGUGUUUCACUGUAACCAGUGUGGUAUAGUGGUUAGAGUGCUGGACUAGGACCUGGGAGACCUGGGUUCAAAUCCCCACUCAGCCAUGAAGCUGACUCAGUGACCUUGAGUCAGUCACUCACUCUCAGCCUAACCUACCUCACAGGGUUGUUGUUGGCAUAAAAUGAGAUGGGGGAGUACCAGGUAUGCCACCUUGAGCUCCUCUGGGGAGACACGUAUAGGAUUGUGCAGUUAAGUGUACAACAAUUACUAAUGUGCAAAAGUAAUAUAUUUCCCUUUUUUAGGUUUUGACAUUUCUGUGAUACCCAGUUAUUACAGAAAUAAUUCUUUCCCCUGCCCUGUCACAGCGGCAGCUUAUAUUGCAAAAAUACAUAUUCUCACUACUUUAGUGAAUACUAAUUCCUUUCCCUGCACCAUAAAUCAGCUGGACUGCCAAAAUAAUACAUAUCAUUUCUGGGACUCACAGCUCCCAUAAAUAAAAUUUUCAUUUUCUGGGACUGACAAUCCGAGUUUCUAAUAUCGCAGUGAGCCCUAAUCACCCCACUUCCUCUUUACGACUAUUACAGGCUUACGGACUUGAUAGAUCUGCAGUUGUCUGGUCUGCCCCAGAGCUUCAAUUUGAAAUAAAAAGUUCAGUGAGUUGAGUUUUACUUCCAGUUUUUUCUCUGAUUAUGUAUAGUAACUUUGUCCAUAAGUCAUCACAAAUUUAUCGGUGUGCUCUGAUAUAGAAUAGGAACCUACAACUAGUGUGGUCUGCAACAAAAUGCUGCAGUGUAGAGUGUUCCCAUUCAGGGUUCCAGUCAUUCCACGACCCAACUCCCGGUUUUCUGUUGUUUCCCCCCAACAGCCACAGUGUAGCCUCUGGCAAGCUCAGUCCUCACUAAGCCGUUUUUAAGGUUCUCUUCCCCUGUAUGUUUUUGCCUUAGCUUAAACUUCAGGCUUUCCUGCCAACCUAGCAGUUCGAAAGCACGUCAAAGUGCAAGUAGAUAAAUAGGUACUGCUCCAGCAGGAAGGUAAACGGCGUUUCCGUGCAUUGCUCUGGUUUGCCAGAAGCGGCUUAGUCAUGCUGGCCGCAUGACCCGGAAGCUGUAUGCCAGCUCCCUCGGCCAAUAAAGCGAGAUGAGCGCCGCAACCCCAGAGUCGGCCACAACUGGACCAAAUGGUCAGGUGUCCCUUUACCUUUAAACUUCAGGCUUGCACUCUCCUUUAACAACCAGCUUUAUGCUCAGGUGGAAUUAGCAAUGAAUGGUGCCAUUUACCAGCUUUGCCUUUUUUGAAGACAGGUGACCUAAAGAAAAUUAAUCAAAGCCCUUAGUAACAUCAAGGCUAGAUUAGCGCAAUGUGCUGUACACAGAGAUCUGCCCUUGAAAAAUGUCCAGAAUAAAAUGCUAUUAAAGGACUGACCACAAUGAACCUGGUAUGUUAGAAGAUCUUCACUGGCUGCCAAUUUGUUUCCAGGAUCAAUUCAACAUACAAGUUGUGGCUUUCAAAUAAUUGUGGUUUGGGACGUGGUCACCCAGGUACUGAAGACUCAUCUAAUGCCACAAAAAGCUGCCCAUUAUAUAAGAGCUUUUUGGAGGUCCUUCUCCGGAUGCCUCCAUCAUCUGAGGUGGCAUUCUUUUCUGGAACUCUCUCCCUCAAUAUGUUCAUGUGUCUUCUUCUAUAUUCUAGGCAUCAAGUGGUCCAUUCUGUUCUAUCAACCCAAGAUUAAUAACAUUAUAUGGCUCAUCAUCUCUGCCUUUCAAAAGACAGGCUGCUCUGUUGCUUUUUAAUAUGCUGUUUUAUUUGUCAUUUAUUACUGUUUUAUUGUUUCCUGAUGUUUAACUGCCUGGUUUUUGUUAGGUGCUAAUGCAAAAUGUAGGAUGCAAAUUCCUAAAAUAAUCAUAAAAAGAGUCUUUUCUCCUGCACUGAUAGGUCAUCACAACGUGCACGACAGAAGGAUUCAUCAGAUUUGCCUAAUGAAAUAUUCCAGUUCCAGACUGAUCAGCCCCCUUUUCUGCUCAGAACUGAAGCUGAGAAAAGUACCGUGCAUCAUUAUUGCAUCAACAAUAUAAAUAUUUUUAAUACUACCAUUUCCUAAUUGCAAUGCAGUGCCCCAGUGCAAGAACUGUGGAAUAUUAAUCUAAGCCUGGCUGUGUUGAUAGUACUUGGCCUCUGCCUUUGUGCCUAAUGUGCUAAGUAAGAAUUAAUACAACACACUUCAUACUCUGUCAUGUCCCAUUGCUUAAUUAAGCAAUCAGAAAUAUUGUGUAGAUGGCUUAAGAAGAUUCAGCUCUGUGGGUUGCAUUAAUGUCACUGGAUUCUUUUAGCCAAAUCCCCUCUUCACAUCUUUAAAUUUGCCCCCCUGCAUACGCACUUGGGUUUGAUAUGAUGGUUACAUGUACUUCUGCUCACUUGAACCUUCUGUCUUUCAGGGCAAUUUUGUGCAGCAUUGUUUUCGGUGACUCAAGUGACUGUAAUCUAAUUCAAGUAAUGCUUUUGUCAUAAUUUCCAUUAUAAAUGCUGCCUUUCAAAAAUUUUAUGACUCAGCUGUGAAAAUGUGCUGUAGGCUGAACUUUCAUUUUACAGUAUAACAUCUCUGCCAGUAUUUGUUGGUCUGUGGCUUCGUAUUUGCCUUAAACAUUACCAGACUUGGUCCACUGCAUAAAUUUAACUGCAUAAGAAAAAUAGAUACAGGAUAAAAUGAUUGACAGUUUUUUUUAAAAAAAAAUAUGAUUGAUUUAAAUAUAUAAAACUACAGUUAAGAAGCCUACAAUGUGUGUACCAGUUAAAUUUUGAAGAAAAAUCUCAUUGUUCUAUUGCAAUAUGAUAACAUCAUGGGAACAUAAUGGGUUGAUAAUCCUGAAAUGUGUAUUAAUUUUUAUCAAAUCAAUUGAUCUGGGUCCUAUGGCUUCACAUACUGCCUUCAAUGCCAUUCCUGGUAAAAUGUUCCAACUUUUACCAAUGUGUUAACAGUAAAGAGAAUAUACAGAUCUUAAUGUUGGAAAAAAUGUCCUCCUGAAGGAUCCGUUUGCCACUUGUGAUUGUGUACAACAGAAAGAUUUUGGACUAAAGAUCAUUAAGAAGUGUGGGAAAAUCAUGGAACAUAUUUCUGCACACAAAAAUUGGCAAUCCUCUCAAAUUUUGACAGACCAAACAAACAUUUACCUUACAAAAACAUGCUAUUUAUGAUGAUAGCAGCUAUGGAAAGAACAACAUAAAACUGGAAACUACAAGGUAAGCAAUCAAUUGAAAAUUGGUAUAAUAAUGUCUGCAACAUGGCACCAGCAGGAAUGUAAAUGACACAAUUAAGACUAGCUAGCAAACAAUCUCUUGUCAGGUAUACUGGGAUGUUAUAUAAAAUGUACCUUUUACAAAAUUAAAACAAGUAUUAACAAAAGAAAUCUAUCAGGGAAAAGCAUGUACCGUAUUUUUCGUCCCAUAGGACGCACCUAGUUUUUUGGGGGGGAAUAAAGGAAUUUCCCCCCUUUAUUCCCCCCCCCAAAAAAAACCAGGUCGAGGAACAGCGGGAUGGCGGCACUGCGCCUCCCCGCUGUCCCCAGAGCUUGUGGGGCUGGCCGAUGUAUGCCCGAAGCGCAGGGCGCUCCGCUUCAGCGUGCCCCACGCUCCGUGCAGCAGGCUGCUAUCCGCAGCCCAGGGAGCCCUGCGGGAACUUCCGCAGGGCUCCCCAGGCUGUGGAUGUCUGCCCCACAUGCGGGGCGCGUGCCGUGCGGCAGGCUGCUAUUCGCAGCCUGGGGAUGUCUGCCCCGCAUGCGGGGCGCUCCACUUCAGGGCACACCACGUGGCAGGCUGCUAUCCGCAGCCUGGGGAGCCCCCGCCAGCUCCCCAGGCUUGCUGAUAGCUUCCUGAAGCCUGGAGAGCGAGAGGGGUGUGUGCGCACCGACCCCUCUCACUCUCCAAGCUUCAGCGAAAGCCUGUAUUCGCCCCAUAGGACGCACACAGAUUUCCCCUUCAUUUUUGGAGGGGAAAAGUGCGUCCUAUAGGGCGAAAAAUACGGUAUGUAUCUCAUUACUGUUUAUACUGGACAUUGCUCAAAAAUAUUGAAUGCUUCUGAAAACAUUCACCCAUAUACUUAGGGCAGAUGGCACGGUUACAUUUAUUGACUACGUUGAGGGCAAAGGAGAUUCCAACUAACAUUUGGAAGAACUUAAGAAAGAAUUAUCACGAUGUGAACUUCAAACUGGUGUUGGACGAUAUAUUGAUAUAUCACCCAGCCCUGUAGGGUAGGCGCCACAACACUAAAGGCCCGAUUCCAACAUGGUGCAGAAUGGACCUCCUAAUAAGAUUGCAUAUGCAGGAGACCCUCAUCUGCAGAGCACAGUCAUCUAUCAGGUAUAUAAAGGGUGAGAUGAUCUUUCAAAUAUCCUGGUCCCAAGCUUCAUAGGGCUUUGUACACCAAAACCAGCAUAUUCAAACAAGCUCAUAGCUAACCGGCAGCCGGUGCAAUUCUUUCAACAGCAAGAUAACAUGUUAGUGAUAUCACAGUGAAAACUGAGCUGCUGCAUUUUGCACCAAAUGCAGCUUCCAAACCAACCUCAAAAGCAGUCCUACACAAGAGUACAGUGGUACCUCUAGAUGUGAACGGGAUCCGUUCCAGAGCCCUGUUCGCAUCUAGAAGCAAACGUAACCAGCGACGGCACAUCUGCGCACGCGCGCGUCGCUUUUCGCCGCUUCUGCGCAUGACAUCAUUUUGAGCGUCUGCGCAUGCGCAAGCGGCGAAACUCAGAAGUAACGCGCUCUGUUACUUCCGGGUUGCCGCGGAGCACAACUCGAACACGCUCAUCCCGAAGCACAUUCAACCCGAGGUAUGACUGUACAUGGUAAUAAACAAACCUGGAGGUGACCAGAGCACUGACAACAAUGGUCAGGCUAUUCCGGUCCAAAAAUGGCCAUAGCUGUCUUACCAGCUGAAUCUGGUAGAAAGCACUCCUAGCCUCUGAGCUCACCUGGGCUCCAUCAAAGAUGGAUCCAGGAGCACCCCCAGACUAUGAACCCACUCUUUCAGUGGAAGUAUGAACCCAUUAACCCAUCAAAGCUGGUAAUUGAGCAAAUAUACACAUUCAGGAACCACCUACCCAUAAUGCAUCCAUCUUGUCACAAUUCAGAGUCUGUUUAUCAAGCCCAGCACCAAAUUCACAGACCAGUCCAGGGCUUGUACAGUCUUCCUUGAUUCAGAGAAGUACUACUGAUUACACUUCACUCCAGAUCUCCUAAUGACCUCUCCCAAAGGCUAGACGUAGAUAUCAAACAGCAUUGGAGACAAGUUGGGACCCUGUGGCUCACCACAGCACAACCUCUAGGAGGGCAAAAGAUGACCACUCAGUACUAUCCUUCUGAAACAAACACUGGUCAGUUGUUUCAAAAGCUGCUGAGACAUCAAUUAAGAACAGAGUCACACUACCACCGUCCUCUCAAUAAAGGUCAUCCAUCAGGCCGACCAAGGCUAAUUCAGCUAAUUCAAUCUGAACCCAGAUUGAUAUGGGUAAAGAUAAUCUUCAUCAAAUAAUACUUGCCAUUGUUGCACCAAAACCCUCUCAAUCACCUUCCCUAGAAAGGGAGUAUUUGCGACUGUGGGGUAGUUGUCAAUGGGUCCAGAGUAAGUAUGCAUUAAACAAACCCCGGAUCCACUUAGUCAUUAUGGAGUGUGCUGCUGUCCUAUUCAUGUGGAUGGAAGGUGCAUAUGUUGCUGAAUGGGAGGAACACGAGAAGGAAAGCAUUUUUGCACUGACAGAUGACAUUGUGUACUUAUAUUUUGCUACAUGUUUUUUCCACUCUAAAUUGCCCCCUGCCCCCACAAGCUGUAUUUCUCCCUGCAGAUACCCAUGGAACUUAAGCCUUGUUGUGUGAGAGAAAAUACACAAAGAGAAAGGUUAAGUAAUGCUUUGCCACUUCUUCUGAAGAUUUUUGUUAUUUACUAAAUAAGCCAUUCAAGCUUCGUCACACACAUUUCUGUGUGGAUUGUAGUUUGCCCCUUUGUCACACUCUAAAACUUGAAAAUGUUCUACUUUUGCAUGUCACAUGGCAUGAACAGCUUAAAUGUCAUUUCGGGAACAAUAUUAACAUUGCUAAGUGCCUUUAGAUGGAUUUUGCAGCUUCCAUGCUGUGCUUGAAUCAGUUCUGCUUUCAGGCAAUCCUUUCCUCCUGUGAUUGGCAGAAAGAAAGACUAGUGGAGGUUCUAAUUCAGUGUUACAGGAGACCUUAAAAUUGAUCUGAUGAUUUAUUAUUUUAGCUAAAUAAGUUUCAUGGCUGCAGUGAUGAGUGGCUUUUGUGAAGCUACCACUGCACUUUAGAACCAUAACACUACAUCUAGAGCUGGAAAACAUCUCUUCCGGAAUGACAAGAUAAAUUACAGGAACACAUUAUUACAUGCUAUUCCUAGAGAAUCUGUUAAUACGAGUUUUAUAGGUGAAAAACAGCACUCUGAAAAUAACAGCAGCAGAUUAUAUUAUAUAUAUUAUUUUAUUUUAUUUUAUUGAGACACAAUUUACGGAAUAAUUCUAUUCAGUGAUGUGGACGGAAGGUACGUUUACUAUAGUUUGCACUGAGCAUGUUUGAAGACUGAAUUCCAAGACCAGUUUUUCAAUGAAUCACUUUUUACUUUUAGUUUUUAUGUGACCGUGUUUUCUUGUGAAAGCAACCCCAUGUGUCCCACAUUGAAAAGUGGCUUUCAGACAAGUUAUUUAUGCCAUGUUAUCCUUUACUUGAGAUGGUGGCCUUCAUUACAAACAGCUUCCCUGACUUCAGAUCUUCCUUAAGCCAGAAGUAUAUGCUCUGAAGGUCCUGUGUAUUACUGAUUUUAAAGCAACAGCAUUUACUGAUUGCAAGAAGUGUGGUGUAUGAUCUCCAGGCUUUUCCUGUAAGCCUGGGGAGGGGGAGGGAGCAGCAUUCCAGGACACAGGAGUCCUGGACUCAUAGGCUCCAACCCUAAGGGGCCCAGAAAAAAUGAUUGUGCUAAGCCAUUCCAGCCUCCUUCUCCGCCACUGUGUGAGAGCACAGGUAAGGCGCCUGAUCACUCACCUGCCUCCCUCUGUUCAGGCCAGGGGGCCUCACCCUGGGCUGUGCUCGCUUUGCUCCUGCCACUGCUGGAGUUGGUGCCAAUGCCUGAGCUUAAUCCUGCCAGGGCCAACAACACACAAACCACACACCCCAGGCAAGGACUGCAGAAGGACUAGACUUCAGGCAGUAACCUGGGACAUGGUCAAAACUGGUCUGUGAAGCAACAGACAUGAAAUAAAGGCAAGGUUUCAGCAGUCCAGACAUAAGUCAAUGCCUUCUUUGACCCCUGUUUUCAAUGUGCCCCUUCUCCAAGGGAAGAGAACAAAAGGCAGUCACCUCUGAAGUGAAGUUAGCCCUAAGCAGACACACAGACAACAGGCAGCUAGCUAUAUAGCCCAUUCGAAAUAUUUCCUCAAAAGCUGAGCUCCACAUUUGAGCCUCAGUUACGCCAUAUUAAAUCUGUGGUUUACUCAAGCAAAACUUUUCUAUCUGGGCAAGAUAUUUACAUUCUGACUUAGCAAAUUGCAUAUCUAUCAUACAGAACUGGGCAUAUUAUCUUCACCAGCCUAGUUACAUUGCUUUAGCUAUCUAAUUCUAAUACAAUUUCGGCAUGAAUUUCCUUCUGUGCUAUUCAUCUUGUUGACUUUCCUUUACCCACCCUUCAAUUUCUCUGCUGUAAGCUGGGGGGCGGAAACUGCCUGGAUGUCAAAAUAACAAAAGUUAAUACAUUUCAGCUAGAACUCCCUGCCCUAUUCAAAUUGAUGUUGCAGGUUCCUUCAAUACAUGAAGGAAAAUAAAUGAGAAUUGAAGCAUGUGGCCAGAAAAAGGAACAAUAGAUGUCUGUUCAAGACUGAAGACACAAAAAUAUGAUCAGAUGGGUUAGAAAACUAUAUAACUUCAAGAAAAUAUUAUAGCGCUAGGUGCUCAAACAAGGUGAAGGGCAAAGUGGUUCAGCCAAGUGUUCCUAUAUGGCCUUGCUAAAUUUUCCAGUUAAGCAUGUUUUGUUCACUAACUUAUAAUUCCACAUUUUCCAUAGGCCCCAAAAGACUGGGGGCCCCUUUCCUAGGAGAUACUUGUUUCAUGUUAUAUUCUCCCAACAGUGUUCUUAAGUGUGUCUUAUAGUUCAGUUGGCUAGAGCAUAGUGCAGGUUCAAUCUCAGUAAGGGACAGCUGCAUAUUCCUGCCUUACAAGAGGUUGGACUUCUAUGAUUCUAUUAUUCUGUUACUUCACAUGGCCUGCAAGAAAACCAACCAAGGUGCAAUAACAAGAAUCUGCAUUAUGCCCCAGCUACCACAGGUAGAGACAGUACUCAAAAUCUCAACACAGUUUUUGCCAAAUGCUGUGAUACAUAAGUUGGGUUAAAAGGUACAUAGGUCACAGGUGCAGCAGGCAGUUAGGUAAAUGGCUAGAAUUGAGGAUGGAACACAGGGUGUCCAAUCAGGGAGCAGGGGAAGAGCUUCAUAAGUCCAAUUUUUGUUUCAGUGGGCUCAGGUACUCCCAAGGGCACCAGGCACAUGUAUGCCCAUAGGUACCCCAGACGAACCCUUAAAAUACAUUUCCAUUUCUUUUUACAGUGGUACCUUGGGUUACAUAUGCUUCAAGUUACAGACGCUUCAGGUUACAGACUCCACUAACCCAGAAAAAUCGUAUCUCGGGUUAAGAACUCUGCUUCAGGAUGAGAACAGAAAUUGUGUGGCGGCGGCACAGUGGCAGCGGGAGGCCCCAUUAGCUAAAGUUGUACCUCAGGUUAAGAACAGUUUCAGGUUAAGAACGGACCUCCAGAACGAAUUAAGUUCUUAACCCAAGGUACCACUGUACUAUAGUAAAGGAUAUGUGAAGAUUCAACUAUAAACAUGCAUCGCAGUGGGAGGUGUCCACUGUGGCUCAAAAUGGUAGCAAAGUUCAGGUUUGACAGUAAGGGCAAAGCAAUUACAAAAAUAAACCCUUCAAUGAAUUUUAGAUGCAAAUCAAAAAUUGUUUUUCUUAUCAUAUUCUCAUCGUUGAAGGUUUAUUAGGAGAUAAGUAGAAUGCCUAUCAGGGCCAAUGUUCUAGUCUGAUGUCUCCUACCACCACUUUGUGGUUUAAACAAUCUUUUUAUAUUGAGAUUUGCGAUCACUGGCUAUUGAAGCAUUACAUGGCUAUAUGCCAUUCUCUCGAGGUGCCUCUAAGUCUUACCAUGCAGCAUAUUUUACACCCAGGGUUGCUCUCUGAUUGGUAGUGGAGAACAUCCUUUUCCAGGAUGCUACACACAGAGAGAACGAGAACACCUCUCUUCUGAAAGGAAUUGCAUAUGAGGAAAACUCUUAUACUGUACCAAAAAUAGGGGUAAAUAAAAACUCCACCUGUAUCCAUUCAGGAGAGCCUGUAUCUUUCAAAUUUCCCUCCCCGCCCAUUGUGAACCUAGAUUUGUGCAUUAUAGUUUACAUACCCUUGAAAAUAUAAGAGUCAUUUAGGUUUGUAUCUUGGCAGCUGGAACAGUUUUAAUGCUGAAUUGUAUACAGAGAUAUAUAAUGGCUAUUAAUUGCUGAGUUCCUUUAUGGUAAUGUCUCUCCCAGAAACAAUUUUUCCCCAUCACAAGUAAAAUAUAGCUGCAUAACAAAAGAAAGAAAAAUAGAUACUGAUCUUGACACUUGCUAAUGAAACCAGCUGUAUUCUGUCUUAUUUACCAGACUAUUCACCGUCUGUUGUUGCUGAAGGGGAAAAAUGCAAUUGUUUAGUCAUCAUACAAAGAGCCUGCUGAAAUCAUAUGAAGUCAAAGUGACUGAACUCUCAAUUCUAAUUCAAUUCAAAAAGCACAUUCCAUUAACUAACGGUAAACAGUUUUCAUUAUGUUACAAUAACAUGGCAUCAAAGGAUGAGCACCAUAUUAUGAUAACAGACUAUUCUCCAGCGAUUUCACCCAAUAAUAAAUAAUGUCCUUUGGCAACAUUAUGAACUCUGGUUCAGUGUCUAACUAACUUCUUCAUUCCCCCCCACCUCAGCAUGUUAGUGAAAAGUAUAAUCAUGUCAGCUAAAGCUGUGUAGGCAACACUGCAACUGAAUCCUCAGCCAAUGAAGUAUUUAAUUUCACCCCCACCCAUAAGCCCUACAAAGCAUCUAUUUAGUGUGAGGAUUGCUUCAGCAUGUUAGUGAUUACCAAGCAGUUAACAGCAGUCCCUUCAGAUAUCUCUCCUAACUGUGUUACAGCAGGAGACGCCAUUAUGAUAACACGUCCAAGUCUAGCCUUGGGCUGUGUCUCCUGUUGAUGCUGGGAAUAUUUUCAACCCAUGCAGAGCCAAGUACUGCAACAUGUGAUAGCAAUGAACUGCAGGGUCAGUACCAAUACCAGCAUGAAAAACAAUAGCGGUGAAUGACACAGAUAUGUGGACAACACAAAUUUUACAGUAAGAAAAACAACAAUGUCAUUUAUAUAAUCUGAAUAAUUAUGAACCCAUCAGCACUACUUUCCAUUUCUAGGCAAUAAGGACCGAUGAGAUUAUAUAUAUAUAUACACACACAAACACACACAGUCAUACCUCGGGUUGCGAACAUGAUCCAUGAGGGAGGCAAGUUCGCAACCCACAUCGUUCGCAACCCACAGCGCCGUGUCUGCGAACGUGUGUGACUUAAUUUGGCACUUCUGCACAUGCGUGUGACGUCAUUUUGUGUUUCUGCGCAUGCGUGAGCGCCGAAACCCGGAAGUAACCCGUUCCAGUAAUGGGGAGGGGGCAGAUACAAAGGCCAGUAAACUUUAAGUGAGGUUUUAAGAUUUUCUCAGAAGUGUUAACACUAGCUUCCUGCAUCACAAUGUAAUUCAGUAGUAAGACUAAAUUCCUCAGGGGCGGGGGAUCUUACUGGAAUGCAUUUUCCUGUAUCUUGAUCAGUAUUCAUUUUUGUGACCAUAACUUACAGGCUAUUCUUCUCCUUGGUAACUUCUCAAGUUAUACUAUGUCCUGCCAAGAAUCAAAUCACACAACUCCUACAAUGUCUGAAUAUACCUCAAUUUCAAAAGUUCCCUGUGUGUAGAAAACUACCACAGCCAAGUAUCUAAUUUUGCCUACCCUUUCCUCCAAGGUAUUAGCUUUCCAUGUGCAGAAUAAUAUGGUAUGACUAGAGUUUGAAAAUAAGCAGCUAUAAUAUUAGUGGUAUUAUAGUUCCCAGCAAUGCUGAGCUACACUACCAGAAACAUUUCAAACAAUUUUUAGUGCUGAUGGAGGAGGCUGUGCGAGUCAUCUGCUCCAAUCUCAUUGGCACAUUGAAUUAUUAUACAGCAUAUAUUUGACUUGCUUAAGAUUUUUCUGAUCUUGUUCCAAGCAUGCCUUAUCUACUUUCUCUAAUUGCCAGCAACUUUCCAGGGUUUCAGAUAAGAGACAUUGCCAAUCCUACCAAGAUAUACCAAGGAUUUAGCCUGGAACCUUCUGCAUGAAAGACAGCUGCUAUAUGGUCCUUCUUGGGAUAGUUAUUGUAAUAAGCCUUGUUAUGGGAACAAUUCAUGUGGAGAAAAUUUGCCUGGCACUGUGUGGCCCACCAAGCAGCAAAUGGGGUGGAUUUCCACCCAAAUGUUGGUUCCUGUGGGGCCAAAGGAGAGGGGGAGGAGAAUCCUUUGUAAGGACCCCCCCCCUUGAGAGUUUGGGGCCACUUUGUCCCACAAGCUUCUCACCCACCCACCCUCAGGUGAGAGCCUCCAAUGAGUAACCUGGGUCACUUGACGGUUGACAGGACCAGAGUUUCUUCUUUCAACCCAACAGGUCUUUGGUGUGGUUUUUUUCACCCUUCCCCCAGUGAAAUUUAUGGCUACCUUUUGCUGGACAGGAUAACUUUGUGUUAAGGUCAGAAGUGGCAUUGGGCAGGAUCAUCAUAGUGAAGGAGGACCCCCAUAAGGAGCCUGAGAGAAAAACUGACCAUGGCUUGCCCCAAAUUUGGGCUGGGCUCUCUGCCUGGCUGGAAUCUUCAUCCCGGUCACCCAGUGAGACCUUGCCAGCUUUGCUUGCUCCACUGCAGCAUUCAACAAUGGGCAACUCCCACGGAACGCGUUUGUUACGGCCCAACCCCAAUGGAUCCCAUUCUGCCAGCAGGGAAUGAGUAGGAUGAUGAACUGACCCUGGCCCUACUGCCAUGCGAACACCUACUCUGCCUGCUGCAGUCAAUAAAGAUUUGGCCUGAUUUCAUCCCAACACCUGGUGUGCUGUCUGGCCACUUACUGCUUGCUGGCUCACAGAUGGGAUGUGCUCCCAUUGCUCUGUCCCAUCUUCUGCUAACCUAGCAGUUUGAAAGCAUACCAUAGGUACUGCUGUGACGAGAAGGUAAAACACCCAUUCUGUGCACUCUGGCACUUGUCACAGUGCCCCGUUGCACCAGAAGCGGUUUAGCCAUGCUUGCCACAUGACCUGGAAAGCUGUCUGUGGACAAACGUCAGCUCCCUCAGCCUGAAAGUGAGAUGAGCGCCACAUCCCAUAGUUGCCUUUGACUGGACUUAAUGGUCCAGGGGUCCUUUACCUUUUUACUUAUUAAAUUAUUUAUUGUGAUGUAUUACCAUAAAAAGUAAGUAGAACUCCGAAGACAGAUUUCUUAAUAUGUGACUUGAGGGCUGUGCCUCUUAUUGUUCAAACAACUGCUGAUCUUUACGAAAAUAACAUUUAUUGGUAAACAAGAGUUGUGUAAUGAAUAAUUGAUAGAACUCAAGGUGUACUUGAGCCAAUUAUUUUAGUGGUCUGGCCUAAUAUGUACAAUUAGGCAAAUUAAAUCAAGGUGCCUUUGGAGAAGCUUGUAACUUACUUGUUUGGGCUGCAGAUUAUUCCAUUGGGCUAUGUUUCUGCUUUGAACAGUUUGAUCUGAAUUAAAGUAAAGUAAAGUAAUGACUAAAGGUUUCUGGAGAUAAAAACAUAAUCUUGUAGUUCUACAGAAGUCAAUAUUGGCAAAUCAAUGAGAAAAUGCAACCAUUUGUGGUGAAUUCAUUCUCAGUAGAUUUAAUGUCUGAAUCUUUAAAACAAAAAUUCACAACAAAGCCAUGUAGAGGAUUCUUUCCCUUAGAUAUCUCAGAUUGAUAGACAUAGCAGAUUGAUCCACAUAUUCCAUGAAGAUCAGAGAGGGAAAUAGUUUUGUUGUUAAGCAAGAAAAUGCCUUACAAGUCUUUUCAAUUCCUUCGGUGAAAACCUGUGCAUUUACUUCCAAUGGCUUCCUAAAAGAUGUAUGGUUUAAACUAGCAGUUCUGGAACAUAAUUUCUCACUAUUGUGAAGAAAUUACAAGUGCAAGUGUCUGGUAUCUAUGUAUAGGCAUCUGCUACUUAUCUUUGCCCUUGUAUAGGAGACAGUUGUCACAGUCUGGUCCAAUUUCUUCUAGCAUUAAGCAUUUCAUCCAUAACAAUAUCCAGGGUCAAGAAAACCUUAAGGCAAGAUCGUAAUGGAAGCUGCAACAGAUUCUGAUAUUUUCCUACACUGACCUAUUUCACUUUUAGAAAUACCCUCUUCAGAAGCAGAAUGACACAUUUUCAUCUUUAGCCCAAAGUCUUAUAUGAUGUUUCAGUGUAAACAAAUAUGACAUGUGAUUGCUGGCUAUGUGACUGUUAAGAUUCAUAUUCAGUUGUCACCACAAUGUCACAAUUUGUGGCAGAGGCUUGUUUUAGCUGUAGUAGUGUAAAUAGCUACUUGUUUUGCUGCAAUCAGAGCAGCCUGCAAGGUCUUGAAACAAGCAGUGUCCAAAUCUUUUCUGCUUCCCAGACUAACCUGUUACUACAGCUGAAAGGAAUCGGAGGGCUGCAUUGAUGUCAUAUACCAAGGUAUGCCCUAGCAGGACUAGGAUGCUGUGUAAGGGGCAGUUGUGAGGGCAGACUGCCUCUGUUCCUGUAGAGAUACACUGUCUUGCAGCUAUAUCACAUCAGGGGUAGAAAAAUAAGUGUUGGUGCAACAGUGCCUAGAGCUUGGUGCUGUGGUUUUUAUGAGUGCUGUGUCUGAGCAGCAGUUUAUCAAAUUAAGUAAUUAAUCUUUAAUAUCCUGCAAGUGUUCUGCAGUAACUGGUCUGCAUGACAUCUGUUUCAGGGAUCAUGUUGUACACAACUCCUGGAGUCUCAGCAUGCUGGGCUUCUGCCCAUAGUUAUUCCUGCUCCAUUUAUGAAACUAUUGGAUGUGGUGUGCAAUGAACAAUCUCCACUCCUGACUUCUUGUCAUUAGCAUGGCGUUUGCUUUCCUAGCUAAAAGGUACCUGUCUCUUCUAAGAGUGCUUUCCUUGCUUUUGGCUAUACGCUACAGCAUGUCUGGGGGGAAAACUUAACUGCUGUGCUGACAUGUCAUUAACUAAAUAAAAGUGACAUGCCUGUCUUCAGUAUUUGCCAUUGUGUUUCUGUGUGCAUAGACCCAGCAUUAGACAGGAUUAAAAUCAGUCUCUUGAAUUCUACGGAAUAAUCUACCCACUUAACUUUUCCAUUAAAACUCCUAGGGAGAGUGGAGCAUUCCAUAUACAGAUUAGGACUUGGGAAGAGGGUUUAUAUACAGGGUACAUAGAAGGAAGGCAGCUUCGCUCUUGUUCACUCAAGCAAUUGCUUCACUUUUUGUGUAGCCCAGCGAUAUAGCUCCACUGCUUGAGGAGCUUCUCUAAAUGUUGGCCUACUGGAUUAGGCUUAAGGAAUUCACAGUUUCAUCAUCGUGACUUGGGGGACAGAGACCUCUUUUCAUCAGAAAUGUGUAGGUGGUGUGAUGGACAGGCCAUGGGCCUUCCUCCUUGUGACCCGGCAAACCAGUUAGAGCUGCUGAGACCAUCAGCUAAUCAGGAGAGGGGCAAUUUAAGUUAGAUGCUGGCAGUUUAACGAUCAGACAGGGUUGAACUAUCUGUGUGGGGAAAACCAUUUUGAUUCCCUGAGGGGAAGUUAAAUUCUUGAAGGCACCAAAAGUCUAGCAAAGACUUGGCAUGAUAAAGAAUGCUGCUUAAAAGUUUCUCUGCAAAUUGAUUGUGUUAAUUAACUUUUGUGCCUCACUUGUGAUACCACCAUGUGUUGAAACCCUCACAGUGUGUAAUUAUAUACACAUACAGAUUGUUCCAGAGUGCCUCCUUAAACUUCUAGGUGGGGAGUGAGUAGACACCAAGGAGACUUCACAUAAGUACACCUUGCUGCUGUGAAAUCUUAAAUGCUACCACAAUUAGUUAGUUAUAGGUCGCUACUGUGUAAUGCAAGAGAAGCUUUACUGGCAAAACACCCAAACUAUGGAUCACGUUACCCAGCACCCAUCCUUCAGUGAGGGUGUCUGUCACAGGUGGCUUACUUCCAUGUCUGGGGACACUGGUCUCAACAAUUCAAUACCCAGGUUUUGAGUGCAAUUCUACACUGUGUUGAAGUCCGCAGCAGUUAUGGCCAGCAAAGUAGCAAGACUUACCUACUUACUGAGGAAAUACUGCCAAUGUUUAAAAAGCAAAGGUGAAAAGCCAACUACAAUGCAAAGCACGAGUCUUACCUAAAAUAUAAUUUUUCUGAAUAGUCUCUAAUAAAAUUAUUCACACAAAGCCUUAUUCUCGAGCUGUUUCUAGCUUAUGUUUAAAGUUAAACCUUUAAUCCUUUCUCUGCUGAGCUCUUAAAUGUUGCUGCCCAAAUCUCUGAAUCUUCUUAUCUCCAAAACUGUGUCACUGCCUAUAAAAAGAUAUCAACUUGUCAAUCAUUAUCAGCAUAUGCAAUAUUUAUAGCUGCUGCUUCUAUUCCAGUUAGAAGAACUAUGACGAGCACAGCAGAAGGCAGCAUUUAUAUUGGCAUGGCCACAAAUCUUUAAACAGGUUGACACACAAGUGUAUAGCUUGAGAUGUCUCCUUCUCUAGAUGUGACUAACUUAAGUAGUUUAUUUGGUACUAGUGCUGUCAUGAGCACUAUCCAAGCAGGACCCAAAAUAGCCACACUCAUUAUGGGAAUGAGUAUUAGUGCUCUGUUAACGAAUGAAUUCAUUUAUUCUGGGUUAUAGUCAACUAAGUCAUAAUUGGAGUAUUAUUAUAUUACUUAUUGAAUCCGUAUACUGUCCAAUAACUGCAGGUCUCAGGGCGGUUCACAGACAUAUUGAUUUCAGUAUGUUUACUCAGAGAGGGUACAACUAAUGCCAGUUAUUAUCCUUUAUAACAAGCUAAAUUUAUAUACCACCUUUCUGCCAAUGCAUUCAAGGUGCUUUACAAUUAAAAAUAAUAACACAAAAUAAGAAGCAUUUGUCUGGCCAAUGGUGAUGUCUACGGAACAUGAGCCUAUUGGCUUCUUUUUGUUUCUCUGUGUGUCUUUUGCACCAGAUAGUUUUCUGUUAAGAGUACAGCAAUGUUUUAUAUGCCUACCACACAGAUAGCUUUCAUCGGAUGAGGGAUUUUUUUUGAAAUCUCACCGGGGGGUGGGGGAGAGCUUGGAAGAGCCUGCGAAAGGGCCAGAGUUCAGCAGUAGAGUUUUACAUGCAGAAUGUACCAGGUUCAAUCUGCAGCAUGUCAGGAAGGGUCAGGAAAGCUUACUGUUUGGGUGCAGCACUCCAUACUUUCAAUCAGUGAAGACCAGGGAUGGGGAACCUGUCGUUCAACUACAAUUCCCAUUUCUCUAACCACUGACCAUGCUGGCUGGGGCAAAUGGGUUGCAGUCCAAAACAUCUAGUGUCCCACAAGUUCCCCACUUCUGGUGUGCACCAAACUGAACUGAUCUGACUCAGUAGAAGACAUCUUGCUGUGUUCCAAAGCUCCUAAACUUGCAAAACUGGUAGGACCGGAGACAUAAAAAUGUAAAUUGUUAUAUUAAGAAUUCUAACAAAACUGCUUCUUUAUUAUUCUAUCUUAGAGGCAAACACUGGAAUGCUUAAUAAAUGUAACUUUCCUUUUAAUUCUUCUGUUUCCAUAAUCAUUUUAUCAGUGUCAUAAAACUCUACUAGACUGCACCAUUAGCUAAUCCAUUGCAAUUAUCCAUUUUUAUUUUUAACUUUUUACAGCUUCUUUUGUACAUUACUAUGCAUGCAAACUACCUAAUGUAAGUAGUAAUAAAGCUGCUAAUAGUAAUGGAAAGGUUAAACUUAAUAUAAUUAAGCCUGAUGUUCAAUUAAAACUGCCCACUAUCUAAGCACAAUGCCAGAAAAGACGAUAGUAGAUUAUCUAUCUUGCCAUCUAAACAGCAAACAUACCUAUUGUACCACCUUCCUAUCACUGCUGGACAAUAGUGUUUCAGUGGUUUGCAACCAUUUUUCAGUGGUUUGGAAAGCCUUGACCAGCAAUGAUAUUCCAUGGAUAUUUUUUAACCUGAUGGUUGCCGAAUUACAAUCUUUGUAAAAUAAAUACAAUGUGGAUGGAAUGACUGGCCUAUUUUAUGUAUGUUACUGAAAAUUAAUUCAUGUAUAGUACAGUACAGGAGGCAUGGUCACAACCACGGUUUGAUACAAGCAGUACUAUACACUUGCUUUUCAUUAAGCAGAGCUUAGAAUUUGUUCUGAUAUUUCAUGUGUCUGAAAUCUAUUGUCUAUGUCUGACUGAAAGAAUAAGGAUCCUUUAGUCAAAGGCUGUGCCCUCCUUCGUUAGUACAAUGCCAUGUACAAUGACGGCAUAUACUAUGUCAUUUAAAGAGAUUAUGAUACAAACAAGGAUGUUCCCUACCAUGUAUACUGUACUAUCUUGGCUGAAAUCCAGUGGACAUUUAAACAUUAUUGUGAAAAUGGCCUUAUCCCACUGAUUUCUGUCUGAGCAGGGGUGGGAACCUCCAGCCCACAGGCCAAAUACAACAUCUUUUAUCCAGCCUUGGAGACUCGUCACGUCCAUUCCAGUCUUGCCUCUGCAUACUCCUCAAGUGCUUCGGCCUACCUAGAAUGUGUCUUUGAAAUGUAAUGAUGCACUUUGCUUGCCUGGGACCUCUGUCUUCUCCAUGACUAGUCAAAUCCAUUUCUCAACCCACCUUUGGUUCUGGCCCUACUGCCCACCACUGACAUGCAACUCCUGGAAGCUUGCCCAUCAGGGAAUGCAGCUGAAAAGGUACCCCGACCUUGUGUCAGAUUUAACCUUAGUGUGUUAGUACUAGCAUGUCAUUUCAAGGGAUCAAUACAUGUUAACUUUUUGUCAGAAUGCAUUCAUAUCAGUGUAAAUAAUUUCAUCUUAUUUUUAUCCUCUUAUAAGUUAACUCUCCUUACUUGGGUUGUGUUAUAUAUAUAGAGAGAGAGUGUUAGUUAGUUAGUUAUCAGGCAUGAAAAACCUUUCAAAAAAUCAAGCAAAUGCAUAUGGAAGUUGCCUCUGCCUGAUUUUCAGUGAUUCCUCCUUACCCCGUGCAUUCCCCCUCAGCCCACCCAAUUCAGGAGGUUCCCAGGAGAGGCUUUUCAGGGAACUGCUAGGGGGUGACCAGAAGCACCAUCAAUACACCAGCACAUCUCUGGAUGCAAGUCACAGGCGUUUUAUCUUAGGAAAUUAUGAUGAAGAUGUAACCAUAUUUCUUUUAAUAAAUAUGGAAAGGCUUGUGUUAUUCAGAAGACAUUUGAAACCUCUGGAAAUCUCCUACAUUACUUAGUGUCUCCAACUCUGAUAUUUCUUAAUAAAUUAGAGCAAUAUGGUAAAUGGUAUCUCAUAAGCAGAUACAGUGGUACCUCGGGUUACAUACGCUUCAGGUUACAGACUCCGCUAACCUAGAAAUAUUACCUCGGGUUAAGAACUUUGCUUCAGGAUGAGAACAGAAUUCGUGCUCCAGCAGCAGGAGGCCCCAUUAGCUAAAGUGGUGCUUCAGGUUAAGAACAGUUUCAGGUUAAGAAUGGACCUCCGGAACGAAUUAAGGACUUAACCCGAGGUACCUCUGUACUAUGCUGCAUGUAAAAAAAAUCUAGCAGCCACUGCAGAUAGGACAGUGGGGCUGUGACAUGACAUCGGCAGUUACUUUAGAUCAGAAUCCUGUUCGCUGGUCCUCUUUCAGCCUACAUGCAUUCAAGAAGUCUUACAGAAAGCAGGCUCUCUGCUCACAUAGGUAAGCCUAUACACAAACUUUUUGUGCACAUAUUAGAUUGUGCAUAAAGUCUAUUACAUCUCCUUCUACAUUUCACCAAUUAAAAUACAGUUUUGCUAUAGAUCCUUAAUAGUUGCAACUCAAAAUUCCACAUACAGGAAGCAGGAAGCAAAAGACCUGAUAACAAGGCUAUUCCUGACUAAACCAAACCAAUCACUAAAUACUCUAGACUGAGCAAUCUAUUAAGUCAAGUUACAUACCUAAAGUCAAAGACAAAAAAUCCCCAUAGCAAUUUAACCUAGGUGAAUAUGCCUUUCUUAUCUCAACAUGGGGUACAAGCUACGACCCAAUUUCAAAGCAAAAUUUGAACACCAAGUUCUGUCUGAAAGCAAUUUCCAGCCUUCUAUUGCAUCUCCACAAGCAGUUACUAAAUUGUAUUUAAUCUUUGAAAGAAAGACGCACUGCAUAUUAAACACCUCUGAUUCUUAUUACUUCCCUGCACACACACUACUACUUAAAGUGGAAUUUCUCUUUGCCUUGUUCCCAUUCCUUCCCCUCAUCCAUCUCUUUUUUUCUCCUCCGCUGAUCCGCACUAGAAUACCAUGAUCUAACAGGUAUGGCUAAAUGGUGGACCACUAUCUUGUAAGCCUACAAAUUGGGCCAUCCCUCUCAUAAUUUUAUUGUGAGGCCUAAUAUAGUGAUAGGCACCAUGUAUGUAAUAAAUUAUUACAUUAUAAACAAACAAACAAAUAAAUGACAUUAUUAAAGGCAACUGCACCCAAAGACAAAGGCAAGUAGUUGACUCUUGGCCUUACAGAAACUAGGGCCUCUUAGAAGUUCCCAAAAUAGAAUGCUUGAAAGUAAUUCAGAGCAUUUACUGAAUUCCUGCAUUUUGCAGCUACAUAGCAACAAUCAGUAAACAACGAUUAGGACUGGAGAUAAAGGCUUAAGCAGUAGGUAACAGAAGCAGAGGAAAUAUACACCAGACUCAUUUAAGAAACUCUCUCCACUACCACACCUUCUACUGUGUGAAAUAAUGGUGGAAUACCAUGUGAAAGAGGCCUUUAAUGCACCAGAUAUCACAUAACAAAUCAGUGAGGUGAAAAUACAGAAGUGUAUUGUAGAGGAUGGAACUAGUGCAUUUUAAAGAUUAGGUGCUAAAUUUUAAAGGUCUAAAACAAGUAUGGCAGUACUAGGCAGGGCAACUAAGAUGUGCACUACCACCUUACCUUACCUUAGUUAUCUUCUGUUUCCCACGAAGACCACUGCUACUGGUGUCUCCCAGAAAGAAUAAAGCCUCGGACUGCUUUCCCCUCAAACCAAGACCUUGGCACAGGAGCAGAAAAGGAAGAUUUGUUAGCCACGUCCACGGAGACCUACAACAAUGGGGGGGGGGCGAUGUUACUAAAUAACAAAAAAUAAGCUACUCCCGCUCAUUGUUAAGAAAAUAAACUUCCAAAUAACUCCCCAAAGAGCAAAAGGGUGGUUUGCACAUGGAAUGGGUUGCUCCACUCCUAUGAUUGGGGGGUGGGUGAGUUUGCAUUCACUAGUGUAUGAAAAAACAUGCUAAAAUGCUGCCAAGCAGAUACUAGCCCAGGCAACUGACUAAGAAUUUUGGAGUUGAGGAGAGACCUGCUAGUAACUUAAAAGAAUAUAUACAUGCAAAGCUUUUCCUAGGCAACAGGCUGACUGAGGCUGCCUUCCAAUUGCUAAUUUACUUGGGAGUAGCUCCCAUUUACCAGAGUGGGCCUUCCUUCUCAGUAAGCAGGCACAGGGUAAAUUUGGGGUGCAGCAGUUUGUUUGUUUUAACAAAAAGACAGAAGAAAAUGUUACUAACUCCGCCUUUUUCACGGAAGAAACCCAAAGGUUUGCUUUUAUUUCGUCUGGAGAUGGAACAGCUGCACAAUUAAUGGCAAAUUUGCAUACCAGCCAGAUAAGACUGUAAGGUUUUAGUGUGGUACAAAACCCCUUCAUUCCCUCAGAACAGACAAACCACGACACCCGUCCUCCACAAGGAACACAUACCAUGAAACAGGCAAGACUGCUACUUCUAGACUACUAAAGCAACCGACUCUCCUUCUACAGUAGGGAAGAGUGGAGCAGCCUGGGAAGAAGGGGCGGAGCUGGGGCUGCUGACUACACUGAGCAUGUGCAGCAUUCCAAAUUAGCUGAGUUCUGAUUUAAAUACAGCAAGCAGGUGGGCUGCAGCUGCUCAUGAUGUUCCUAGUCCAGCAACGCAUCUCUGAUUAUCAUCAUCAAACAAACGUGGUAGAGCUGGGUGGUUCAGGUAUGUGGAGUUAGCUGUUGGAUUCAUCCUUGGGGGAUUGAGCUAGGAAAGGCAUGCCUGGCUCAUGUGUCCAUUCUGCUUGUCAUAUCAUAAGAGAUGGGCUGCUGUUAUUUUACUAAUGAGUUCAGUAAUGGGAUGGCACAGAAAUAUUGCUUAUAAUGAAACAAUAAAUAAUGCUGGUACAGUAACCCUCCCCAGCACCAGCCAGUGUUGUAUCUUUUCCUGGCCUUCUCUGCAUAUAAAUGAAGUGUAAAAGUAGACAGCGAUCCCUCCUAAAACCUUUCCUUCCACAAAUUAUAAUCACUAGUACAGUGGUACCUUGGGUUACAUAUGCUUCAGGUUACAGACUCCGCUAACCCAGAAAUAGUGCUUCAGAUUACGAACUUUGCUUCAGGAUGAGAACAGAAAUCGGGCUCCGGUGGCGCGGCGGCAGUAGGUGUGGUGCUUCAGGUUAGGAACAGUUUCAGGUUAAGAACGGACUUCCGGAAUGAAUUAAGUACUUAACUCAAGGGACCACUGUACAGGUAUGAGGAACCAGUGGCCAGCAGGAGUGGGGAGUGAUUUGACACUGGGGAGCCCUAGGAUUUUGACAAGCCCUGGCAGUUUGGCUGGCCGAUUGGAUGCGGCAUAAGAUCUUCUGAGAAAGGUUUCCAAUCUAGGCUCUCCAACCAAGAACUGAAGGCUGCAAAAUCCUGCCUUACAUUCUCACAGUCAAAGGGGAAUAGCUAAGGCCUGCCACUGCCAAGUUGGAACGGAAUAGGAAGUAUGUGUAACUGACCCUUUCUAAUUAGGAUGAGACCAUGGCUCUAUUCAGGCAUUUUCUCCAUUUUGCUUGUUGUGGGCAUUGUGGAAAAUUUAAAUUGUGAUUCCCAGCCCCCCCCCCUUUUUCUGGUGAUCAAACGGCUGCUCCUAGGUUUUAGCUAUCUAGGAAUAGGGUUCAUCUGAAGGCAUUUUGCUGAGGGACACCGUAAACAAGCCUGAAGGAGGAGUCAGUCUGUUUCAGCCACAAAAUAGGUUGAUUUCUUAUCUCAAAGGAAGAGAGAAUCAUCUGUAUUUUUUCAGCACACAUCCUAGAAUCUUGGUACGUAGCGUGCUUUUGCUGAACUAGAAGUGCAGUCCUCUUUUGUCUGGGAAUGCCUGCUUACCCUCAAUAGAGGAGCACAAAAUAAGUAACACUAUGGAGCAAACAUCUCAUGAAGGCCAUGCUUCAGAGUGGCAGGUGUAUCACCUAUAUGCAAUUAUGAAGUAUCCUCAUAUCUGUGCAUUACAUUCCUAGCAACAGCUGUCAGUGAUGUGGAGACAAUGCAUGCACAUGCAGUUAGAGUGGACCCUCCGGAUACGAACUUAAUUUGUUCCAGGGGUCCUUACAUACCCCCAAAAGUCCACAACAUGAGGUGCCGCUUCAGCACACGCACAUGGCGCAAUAGACCGCUUCUGCGUAUACACUUCCAGGUUUGCCGUGUUUGCAACCCAAAAGUUACGUUAUACGAAGGUAACGUAACCCGAGGGUCCACUGUACUGAUGUGGCCUUGUUCUGUUUGGAUACUGCUGGGUAUGCCUCUAGUCAGUAGAAGGUAGGGUUGAGACAAACAGGAUAAAUAUACAUUGUGAUUUCCCACAAUGGCCUCUCUUAUGCAAGAGUAUGCCAUGAAAGUAGCUCUAGCCAUGUAGUUUGAUUCAGAACCCAUCCUUGUGAAUAUCAAGUAACUGUAAAUAAGGGACUUUUUUUCUUUACUAAUGGAGCUUCUGUAUGUUUUAUUUUGCCUUUUAAGCAAUGCCAGUGACAUGUGAAAAUGAGACAGGGUGGGGGGGUGAGAGUAAUUCCAGGCAGCUCCAGUUUCCAAGCUUUUAACUCUGCUGCAUAUGUGUGUGUGUGCAUAAAAUAAGCCAAACAAUUUAAUUUUUUGUAACCUAUCAAGAACUAAUGUGAUGAUGUGAUUUUCAGCACUAGUCAAGAGGAGCUAAAGUAUUUAAAGUGGCCUGAGAAUCAAGCUGUUAGUUACACAUCUACAACUUGUAUACUUGUGUCACAAGCAUAAUGCUGUUGGGAAAGUGAAUAACUUCUAAAAAUGGAAGUUAGUCAGAAGUGUUCAUUUACUCAGAUUCUCCUCAGCUGUAAUGGAUGGUAAAUGUUUGCUUUACUCUGUGUAGGUCCCACAUUAUAAGAAAUUGCAAUGAAUAUUCAUUUUGUUGCCUUACCACUUUACCAUCAAUGAAAAUGAGGGAUUAACUAAGGCAAUACUUUAUUUCCUUCUGUAAUUGUGAAUGCAUAACAUUCAUUAUAUUAUUAAUCCAUCUUGAAAUGUUCAUACAAAGCUAUUUUGAGCCAUUAGUUGCGUCACUGUAAUUGAUGGAUUACUGCAUUAACGUUUAAUUUAGUUUUGUUUUCAAGGCAUAACACUCAGUUUCAUUCAAGUUAAUUGUAUAACCAAAUAAGGAAAUAAAUUGUUCCAGGAGAAAGCAUAAUGCGAUUUAAGAAUUCUUCCCAAUUCAAGCGAUUUGUUUUUGGCCUCAGAAGAAGUUGCAGUUUAAGUUUUAGAUUUGAAAUCUAAAAAUGCCACACACACACAUCAGGCUAAAAGGGGGGGGGGGGAGUUUUUCAGCUGAAAAUUGUGCUUGAAAGAAAUUUGAACAAUUUUUUAUUCAUAAAGGCUUGAUAAAUAAAUUCUUAAGUUUCUCUUCCUCUACCAGAGUUUAAUUCCCUCUCCAAAAUCAAGACUAGGUAAGGUAUUAUUUUGACAACACAUAAAUCAACUAAUAAAAACUAGACUCUGUUAAAUUAUAAAAUACUAGUAUAAAUAAAAAUUAUUCAGUAUGGCACACCAGAUUCCCCAUCCAAUUGUGUAUUUAAAAGUCACCAACAUUAUGUUGUUGUUGUUCAUUGUUUCUCAAAUUAUGCUUAUAUUUAAAAUGUAUUAUAUGAGCCAUAUUUAUACUCACUUGUCUGUGCUAGUAAAAACAUUUAUCUAAUACAAAAAAUAUGCAUAUGCCCAUUUGGCUUCUGUAUGUUUUUGAAAACUGUGUCUCAAGUCUGUGAAAUGUUACAGUUUAAAGUUUCACUGGUGCAGUAAUUUGCUUUUUUCCUCCUAAGCUGUUUAUAAGAAGCUGUUUAUACUUAGGCCACGGAUCCAUCUAACCCCGCACCUCUACUUUGACUGGUACUUCUCUCUGUGAGAAUACUUCUCUAUACGAGAAGAUCGGUACUUUUCUCUUCCAGCUUACAACCUGAUCUUGUUAAGGCAGAGAGGCAAAGAAUGAACCUUGGCUGCACAAAACAUGAGGUUUAUCAUUCAGAAGGCUCUCUCUUUCCCCAAAGGUCCAAUCUUUUUCACUUUUUGCGCAGAGGUUCCAGCUUGAGCUGACCACCACAGCACUGCAAACAAGUAGGUUACUAGCUGUGAACUGCUCUUUAUCUGCCGAUACAGCAAGUCUUAGGAUCAGGCUGCAAGGGGUACAUUUUAUUAUGUAUUGUUUCAGAAAGAAAAAUGAAGAGAGAAACCGCAAGCGUGAGAAAUUACUCUGGUAGAUGCAGCAUAGCUCAUUUGCCUCCAGCAUCAGCUGGGGGUAGAUGUCAUAUAUUCAUGUCAUGGCAUAAUGGCACACUCUAGGCUAUUCUCAUAUACAUUCUCAUUCCAAGCUCAUUUGUCAGUUGUCUGUAAAUCCAACAUCUUCCUCAUGCGGGCUAGUUUAUAUAUCUUUUGCUCAGCUGGUUGUAAACAAAUUCCAUGUACUGUAUGGCAGGUGACAAAUAGAUGGAAUUGACCAGGUGAGGUUUUGGUGCAAUCUACACGUUGCAGAUAGGCCAGGCUGCAGCUUAUUUACUGGAAUUAUUUGGAAAGGAAGGCAGCUGUCAUAUCACAAGAAUAUAUAUAUAUAUAUAUAUAAAUAGUUGCUUUGCAGGACUGAACACAUUGUUGUUGCUUAGAAGGAUUUGCUUUGUACUUAGAAUCAUAGAGUUGGAAGAGACCACAAGGGCCAUCAAGUCCAACCCCCUGCCAAGCAGGAAACACCAUCAGAGCACUCCUGACAUAUGGUUGUCAAGCCUCUGCUUAAAGACCUCCAAAGAAGGAGACUCCACCACACUCCUUGGCAGCAAAUUCCACUGUCGAACAGCUCUUACUGUCAGGAAGUUCUUCCUAAUGUUUCGGUGGAAUCUUCUUUCUUGUAGUUUGGAUCCAUUGCUCCGUGUCCGCUUCUCUGGAGCAGCAGAAAACAACCUUUCUCCCUCCUCUAUGUGACAUCCUUUUAUAUAUUUGAACAUGGCUAUCAUAUCGCCCCUUAACCUCCUCUUCUCCAGGCUAAACAUGCCCAGCUCCCUUAGCCGUUCCUCAUAAGGCAUUGUUUCCAGGCCUUUGACCAUUUUGGUUGCCCUCCUCUGGACACGUUCCAGUUUCAGUGUCCUUCUUGAACUGUGGUGCCCAGAACUGGACACAGUACUCCAGGUGAGGUCUGACCAGAGCAGAAUACAGUGGCACUAUUACUUCCCUUGAUCUAGAUGCUAUACUCCUAUUGAUGCAGCCCAGAAUUGCAUUGGCUUUUUUAGCUGCCGCGUCACACUGUUGGCUCAUGUCAAGUUUGUGGUCAACCAAGACUCCUAGAUCCUUUUCACAUGUACUGCUCUACUUGUAAUUGAUCACUUUGUAAUGGUUCAGCUUAAAUGCAUAAAUCAUUAUGAAGCACUUAGGCAGUGCUAUAUUCCUAUCCCAUUUGGUGUCUGACUUGAUCAUAUGGGGAGGGGGGAGGUUGGCAUCAUGCAUCUACUUGCAUGCAUUGGGAAUCCCAGUAGUGGCAAACCAUGUGACUGUGCACAAGUCUGUGAGGGUACAGUCAUAUACUGUACUUAGGUACAGUCCUCUGCCAUAUUUGGGGAAUUCCCCACAUAUGAAGAGAUAAAUUGGUUUGUUAGUGAUAAGGAAAUGGUGUGCUGUUGUUCUGAGUGACUUCCAAGAUCCAGCCACAGAUUGUUGAGUGUCAGCUGGAAAAAAAAGGAAAACAGAUAGGUGACGAGAAUUCACCUGGUUGAACCUCUAAAUAUCUGGUACCCUGGGGGGAUGAUUUGGGUGUCAGGGGAAUGAGUAACUCUGUGUUCCAAGGGUGAGAAACCAUCAGAUCCUGAAUGAAGCCCUCCAAACCUCUGUCUGACCUUCAGCAUUCCCGAGACCACCCUCUCACAGGCACUAUUUCACACCAUGAGUGUUUUUACCUGGCUGGAAUGUGUCCUUGAACCCUGAUAAUGCCUCUGUCUUGUCCGUCCUCAGAAAUUUACAUUUAUUACUCUGCUCACUUUUGCCUCUGGCCCCACCCACCAGUGGUAUGUGGCUCCUGGAAGAUUGCCCAAGAGGUGAUGCAGCCCUUGGGCUGAAAUCGUUCCCCCCAGCCUGCUGCACACUGUACAUAGCACUGACUGAAGAGGGAACAGAAAAUGGGCACCUGCAGAAACUCAUACUGCACCCCUUGAUACACUAAUAAAAUGUUUAUGUUCAGGGCUGACAGCCCCAAACUUGGGCCCUCCAGCACAGUUUUGCACAGUAGGGGAAUGCUUCAGAAAGGUAGAAGAAAAGAAAUUAUAAACAUAUAUAUAUUCCUUUUAUUCUCUUGAAAUUACUUCCACCCCACUCAGGAGCUUUAAUGGUACUCAAAGGCUGCCUGGAGCUCUGAAUAGGAGCAUCCUGGACGGUGACUGAAGAAAAUUUUGUUGCAAAUCAUACCUUGUAAGAUUAUAUUAUCAUGAAGUAUAUAAUAUUGUAGUUGUUUAGGUCAGAUUGCCUCGGCUGUUUUGUUGCCAUAUCGUGAAAAGUCAUGUGGGCUCUGUUCACAAAUAUACAGGCUCACUUCCCAUUCCAUUGAAAUCUCAUCUUCAAAUAAUGCUUCUUUCUAUAAUCUAAAUCUCCUGCUUAGAGCUCAUCCACAAGCAGGCAAAGGAAUUACCUUUUUAACUUUGUCCUCCUUGUAUAUAUUAAAGCAGGAUUUUCAUAAGGGUUCUUAUUUAUAUUAAUAUAUUUUACUUUUUUUCUAUUUACUUUAUGUAUAAUACAUAAAGGUAAAGUGGUUUGAACUGAUCUAUUAAAUCAGUCUUUAUUUGCAUAUUAUUCAAACAGUUCACUAUUAUGCUGUAGAAAGCAAUAGAUGGAAACAUUCUGAUGCCCUCAUUCUUUCUUGAACUGCAAGUAAUCUCUGAUCUCAAAACCUUUGCAAAUCAAUGCAGGAUUGUUUAUUAUACUGGAAAAUGUUCUUGUCUUCUUAAAAAGACUGCGUGUGUGUGCAUACAUGUUGACAAAUAGGAAAACAUAUCCAUGGAAUGACUGAGAACACAUUAUUUAUUAUAGGUUGCUGAUGAUCUAAUAAUUCACAACACAGCAAACCAGCAGCAUCAAGAAGUAUCCUGAAAGCUCAUUAAUAACUUUUUUUUAAAUGAUGCAUUUGUAGGCUGUCAAUUGUUCAUGCUGUCUAUGGAACAAUGAUUUUUUUUCCAGUUGUAAUUAUAUUAUGCACGUUUUAAAAAUGUAUGCCGUAUUUGCAUCUGAAUAUUUCCCCUGAAUAAAUGAUUUGGAUUUUUUUCUCCAGCCAGAAUAAAUGCAAACAUAGGCCUUUUCCCUCUUAUAUAACUGUCUAUAUGAGAAAUGCUACUUCGAAUUCCUAUAAUAUUCUUUAUGAACAAACUAGAUUUGACUGUGCAGACCAGUAUGUCAUGUUGGGUUGCUGCCAUAAUCCCAAAAGGUGGGGGUGGUGGGAACUUGAAAGCACAGAGGUAGGGGAGGGAGGUGAACUCCUGCUUUUCUCCCUCAAAUCUUGUCUUUCCCAUCCCACAUAUUUUCUUGUAACCGCUCCCCCCUCAAAGAAGAAGAAGAAAGCAGCCAGAGAAAGGUAUAUUCAAAAAGAAAAAAUGUGAUAAGAAAGAGUACAGCUCUGCCUUUCCAUCAACACAAUUUGGCUCUUGAAAUCUACCCCAGCUUCCCAGGUUGGAUUGUAGCUGUUGUUAUCUACUGUACUUCUGUGUGAGACAAAACAUUAUUUAUUUUAUGCAUUUAUAUUUUUAGAAACAUUAACUUCACCAGGGCUUGAUGGGGGGGGGGACCUGAUAGAAGUGAAAAUGAAUAUUUAAAUAAAUAUAACAGGAAACUUUUUGCAACUUAGACUGCAGUCCUAAAUUGGCCUCCUUUAAACACUUGCCUAGGGACGCGGGUGGCGCUGUGGGUUAAACCACAGAGCCUAGGACUUGCCGAUCAGAAGGUCGGCGGUUCAAAUCCCCGCGAUGGGGUGAGCUCCUGUUGCUUGGUCCCUGCUCCUGCCAACCUAGUAGUUCGAAAGCACGUCAAAGUGCAAGUAGAUAAAUAGGUAUUGCUCCGGCAGGAAGGUAAAUGGCGUUUCCAUGAGCUGCUCUGGUUCGCCAGAAGCGGCUUAGUCAUGCUGGCCACGUGACGCCGGCUCCCUCAGCCAAUAAAGCGAGAUGAGCACCGCAACCCCAGAGUCGGUCACGACUGGACCUAAUGGUCAGGGGUCCAUUUACCUUUAAACACUUGCCUUGGAGUAAGUUCCAUUGACUCCUGGGUAGACAUGUAUACAAUACAGAUUGUUCUUGUUUGUCAAAGUUGAGUUCAGAAAUGCUAUGCCCAAUAAGGCUUUGCUCUAAAGGAAGUGUUGUUGGGCUUUUGUUCCAUGUAAUUGCCUGUUGCACACAUUCAACCUAACAAGGUGCAUAGGCUACAGUUCUAUGGCCCAUGAGAGGGUGUCUUGGAGGCUUUAGGACUGAUUAGAUCACCCUCUUCUACACUGGAAACAGAACUCCAGUGUCAUAGACUGAGAUCCUUCAAUGCUCUGGCUCAACCAACAUUUGCGCUAUGGCCUGCAGGCCCCAGAAUUUGGGGUAACAUCAGGAGUGAUUGGGGGCAUGCUAGGGGAAGAAGCUGGGAUCCAAAACCCAGGGUUCCUGACCUGCUUCCCAGCUGAGAAUAAAAUUAUAAGAGCUCAGGAACAUGUCUAAAUCUCACAUUCACUUUCCCUCCCAUUGUUUCCAAUGGAAAAGAAUGUGUUGUGGGGGAUUGUUUUAAAAACUUAACAGCUGGAAACAGGUGAGCUUUGCAGGCCUUAGCAUAUGGUUGAAUCUACUUCUCUAGAUGAAUUGGGCAAUGUUGUUGCUUUUCUUGUUUUAAUGUGGAAAAAAGUAUUCAAAUAUGUAAUCCCUUUCCCCCAUGCACCUGCAUUUAAAGUGGUAGAAUCCAAGAAAGAUUGUAGAAAUACCACCACCACCACCCUAUAAUAAUGGCAACUCAAUUCUCCACAUUCUGCUCAAUAACAGAAGUAUCAGCAGGCAGAAUUGCAAGUUUAUAGCAUUAUACAAACCUUUAGGGUGGGGGGAAAAGUUAGUCCAAUGUGGACUGAACAUGCUCAGUGUGCAUGGAAUACCAGCUGCUCAAGGGUGGGGAAAAAUGGAAGGCCGAGAUAAAGGGGAAUAGGAUGGAAUAUUCUAGAAGAGGCUUCCUCUACCUCGGCCAUCUAGAUGUUUUGAGACUACAAUUUCCAUCAUCCCUGACCACUGGUCCUGCUAGCUAGGGAUCAUGGGAGUUGUAGGCCAAAAACAUGGAGGGUCGAGGCUGAGGAAGCCUGUUCUAGAAGAAGGCACAACAGGUUGGCUGGGAUCCUGGAUCCUUUCAGCUCAGUACUGACUGCAAUGACUGGCACUGGCCUUCCAGAUUUUAAUAAUAAUAAUAAUACCUUUAUUUUCAGACUGAAAUUGCUUCUUAGCCAUACCUGGAGAUUCCAGUAAUCAAACAUUGGCCCUUUUGCAGGCUCUGCCACUGAACUAUGUCCCUUUCCCAAAGCACUCCUCAUUGGAACACUAUGGAAGGUCCCAGUUGUGCAACCCUUAUUCAUACAGCCACAGUCAUUUGCAAUGUAUCCUGCUCUAUAUGCUGUCCAGGUAAGGACAGCACCUGUGUGCAUGCAAAUAUAGCUUCUGUUCCAAAUGCAGGAUGGAUCAUGUGGAGAGUCCCUUUGCAUAUACAAUUGUUUAUUAGGACUGUUUCUUAGCUCCUUUCUGUUCACCACCUCCCUCCAAGAAGGGAAAAUAAUAGGAAGCACAGAGGUAAGAAAGAGAGAAGUGUGCUAAGUUUUUUUUUUUUAAGAGGCCCUCAUUACAGUUAGUAAGAUAUGGGUGAUAUUAGCACAUGGGAUAACAAGAAGCUUGCAGUGUGGUUGAUGUAUAAAAUAUGUGCCUCGAUAUCUUGCUUAUUUUUAGAUAUUCUUUCUCUUUUUGAAUUUCCAUAAUGAGCAUGUUGUGCCUGUCAGCAUCCUAGUUCCUCACUGAAACCUUCCUUCUCUUUUAUCACCAGAGUCUCAAAUGUCUUGUCAAACCUUGUAAUUAUUUCCUAGAGUCAAAUCUGCCAUUAAUCCUCUCAGGAAAGCUCAUGCAAAGUACCGUUACUCAAGGGGCAUGAAGGGAGGAAGGACAUGAUGUGUCUGUGUCAUCUCUUCAGUUUUCAUGGUUCGUUGUCUAGGAGGAACUGAAACUUAAGUAACAUGCCCCAGAUAGAGGCACAAUAGAAAAUAUUACCUUUUGAUAUUCCAUUACAAUGCAAACUAGAGAAAAAUAAUAAUGGUGGCAACAUUCUCUCUACUUUUUCUUUUUAACUUGGGUCUAAUAAAAAAAAGAGAGAGAGAGAAAGCACAUUCCAUCCACUGAAACAACAAAGAGUUAUGAAACAAGAAAAGUAGUGGGGAACUAAUUAUCGUUCCUUCGUAUUUGGCCAUGAAAAACAUACCGUUUUGGUGGCACAUUAUUUUCAUACAUAAAAAUAUGCGUUCUUAAUUAUGUGCAUUAUUAGUUCCCAAUCACUACCAUGAAGGCACAUCUCUGUGCUCUCUUCCUAUCAGUGUUGCUCUUCCUACACUGGAGGAAAAUAGUGUGCUAUUUUGAAAUACUAACUUUUUUAUCAUAGUCUCAUUAAGCAGAAUAUUAUUGCAGUUUGGGGGGGAAAGGUGGUAAUACUGCUGUGCAACAUGUAGUGCAUGCUCAAAUGGAAGCCCAUAAAUUGAGUUCACCAACAGAAAACAGUUAUUCGGAAAAACUGAGGUCUAAUUCAUGUGGCUCCUGGGCACACAGAGCUUUUGAUGGACAGUAAAGGAGGUGCUUUUUCUGCUUCAUGUGUGUUGAGAUUCCCAGAGAGUGUGUUUAGCUGUGUGCACAAAGUCAGAAUAUAUAAUUUUCUUUCUGGACAUGCAGUGAGGUAGCCUUCCAAUGAAAGCUGAGUGUUGCACCCAGAAUUGUACCUGAAUGCCCCAGUAUAAUAUCUUUAUCAAUUGAAGGUAUCUGAAGUCAGAACAGGUUCUGUUCUGUUAUUUGCAGUUGAACAUUGCAAUACAAAUAUCACAUAUCUGAGUGCAAGGUUUUGAAAAGUCUCUGCCAGUGUUAGAACAGAAAUAUCAUUUGAAAGGUGUCAGUUCUUUUACAUAAUUGUUAACUGUAACUUCCCUUUUCUGCAUAUACCACACACUUAGGACCAAUAAAUUGUCACAAAAACAGUAAUGGAUUCUUUUAAGUGUGCUCAGAAUACUGAUGAAAAACCAAAUUAGUACUCCAGAUCCCACUGAAGUCAGUUACAAAAUUACCACUGACUUUUAUGGUUCUGGAUUGCAAGCUGAAUUAUCUUAGCAGGGCCAGUUACUAUCUCACAGUCGAGGCACAGCUGGUUUUAAUAUGUACAUUUCUUGCAGCAGGGAUGUCUGCAGGAUUAACUUCAGACUUGAAAGUGAAAAGAUAAUGUAAAUGUGAGAGAAUAAAACCAGGUCAUAGAAACUGUAGCAGCAUAUGGUGCAAAAGCUGAAAAUGUGCAUGAUGCAAAAAUAGCUCCAAAUCAUAGAUAUUUAAUGGGCUUGAACUGGCUGUCUGUCACCUGUGAGCCUCUUCUAGCCAAUGUCUGAGCUGCUGUGAUUUCAUGACAUGUUCAAUGUUAUGACUAUAGAGGUGGAAGGAUCAGUCACAAAAUUCUGACAGGCGAAUGUGAUGGAAAUAAAAGACCGAAUUGGCUGGGGGCAACAUUGCAUAUUGCCGUGGAGGGGGAAGGAUGACUUAAGUAGAAAGGUUUUCUAAAGAGACAGCAGCUAGGCAAGAAGAGGUGGUGGAAGGGAAUGUAAGAUUAACCUUUGAAGAUGCCACAUCGUGCAUGUAUUAACACUCAGUUGUCUAAUUCUAAACAAAAGUGAAUUUGCUAUGAGUGCACCCUAAAAUACAAGUCUGCACACUUUUAAAACACAUGAGGAAAGUGGUAUUGCAGGUAAGAUACACAAUGAGUGAAGUUGCUGAAAUCACAACAAAUAUUAUUGUGAUUACUGGAAAUGGAUAUGGUUCACAUGUUCAGAGCAACUAAUGCAAAAUCUAAAAAGUAUACAACUGGGGAAACAUGUUAAAAAACAGGAUAUUUAAAAUUCCUGGCAAUACUUUAAUUACUCAGAUGUUAACUUGGCUACAGCAGAAUGCAAAAUGAAGAGCAAAGACAUAUUUCUGCAAAGUACUUCAGGAUUGUUUUGUUCUAUGGCUUAUUUGAAGCAUUUGUCUGGUUUGAGGCUAUUUUGGAUGAAUUCCUAGAAAAUGCAUGAAGUUUGAUAAAUAUGGCUGGUUCAGAGGAACGCCCAUGAUGAUAAAAUAUAAUUAGGCUUAGAAUAUUGUUCAUGGCGAUGGGAAGCAAACUGAACAGUCUGGGUCAUCAAUAAAAGUUAGUUUGAGGAAAUAUCAGACGACUUAAUAAGUUUAAUUGGAGUUUUAUUAUCUGGGAGGGGGGACCUAGUGCUAGGAAGUAAGAUCAUUUUAGGAACAAUUGCAUAUGCAAUUAAAAUUCAUCUUGAUGAAAUCUAGAGGGGGCAAAGCAACAGAUGCAAAUGUAGUUAAGUGGCAAUGUUAAAAUAAUUCUAAACAGAAGGCCUCUUAAAAUACAUAAAUAGAAAUGCAUUUAGUUGGGAAGUGGAAAAUCUAAAUAAGAAAGAAAGAUGCAGCACAAGUUAAAAACAUAAUUAGAAAAAUAAAUUGUAAAGAGUAUUUUAGAUUGAAAAAGAAUCUUGUUUUAUUGACUGUGUCUGCAAAAAAUAAAAUAAAAUGAAAGCGUAGUCUGCUUAGGAAAAUGGAACACUAGAAAAUGUGUGCAAUUAAUUGUGGUGUAGGGAGAAGAUGGCAAGCUGAAAUUUCCAAUCAGUAGUCUUGUAGUAUUUAAUGCUGGUGUUUUGUAAAUGUCUUUUAGUACUUAACAUCUGUGUGAAUCCAUUUUACAGUUGAAAGCAUGUUGUGAGGUGUCUAAAUCACACAGUAGCCCACAGCUAAUGCUUACUUACAACACAGUGGUACCUCGGUUUAAGAACAGUCCUGUUUAUGAACGAUUCUGUUUAAGAACUCCACAAAACCAGAAAUAGUGUCCCGGUUUGUGAACUUUACCUCAGUCUAAGAAUGGAAUCCGAACGGUGGAAGGGCACUAACGGUGGGAGGCUUCAUUAAGAAAAGUGUGUCUUGGUUUAAGAACAGUUUUGGUUUAAGAACAGACUUCUGGAACGGAUUAAGUUCAUAAACCAAGGUACCACAGUACAGUAGACUCACAACUUGCAUUCAUUUAACUUGUGCACAUUCAACUUUGCACGCUUGGCAAUUAAAAAAAAAUAAUGGAGGAAGGGGAAACUUUGGCUUCAAUGGUGGGUGGGAUUGCCAAUGUGUUUUGUCUAUAUGCAAUUUUGGCUUUAUGCACUAUCCCCAGAACAUAACUCCUACAUACGUUGUGGGUCUAAUGUAUGUUUUUAACCUAUGCUGAAAAGAAAAGAGAGAAUGUCAGUAUUUUCAUCCCUCCCAUUGCAAGGAUCACCAGAUCAUGUUUGUUUUACUUUCUGUCUGUGAAAAAGGAGGGGGCGGAAGCUACUCUUCUAGACUUCCGUCCCUAGUAUUUGUGCUUUUUUCUUUGAUCUGUCUAGAGACAGGAUGGCAGUAUGAGAGCUGGUUCUCUCAUACAUGUUUGUUAUGUUCUUUUAUUUGUUUAAGCAGUAGAAAUAAAUUAGGUAUGCUACAAAACCUCCACAGCUUUGCUUCCGUUACUCUGCUGCAUUUGAGGUGCUCACAUGAACAAAUGUGAGUCCACAGCACUAGGACCUAUUCCUUGGGAAUGCUGUGCUGCUGUUCCUGUGAUCGGAAGGUGCUCCCGUCACCCAGACCAUGCAGGCACUGAAGACGUGGGCUGAACAUGGGUGUACGGAAAGAAGGUGCCUUGUAUGUUUCCCAUUUGGGGAGUAAAUCCCCAAAUUGGGAUACAGUUGGGCAUACAGUUUUUAGUGGGUAAAUGGGCUUAAGCCUCUCUCUCUUCAAGUUAAAUUCUGGAAGCUCCAUUUCAUAAGACAAAAACUUUACAAAAAAGUUUGGAAGGGCAGGUGAUGUAUCUAUAUAAAACAAUAUACAAUGCCAUAUCAGGAACUUUGAGCUUUAUUUCAACUUUAUUUGCAUUGAAAGGCAUCAGUCUGCUGAUGAAAAUUGAGAGGUUGAAGGACAGCACCCUAAAAAAUUUAAUACUAUAAUCCCUUUCUUUUAAGUCUGUUGCUCAUAACAAAAGCAAACCAAAUGUUUCAGCAACCCUGUGACAAAAAAUGUAGCAUUGUUUGUGUUGAAUUUAAGAGAUAGGUGGCAGGGAGCCCUAAUUACUGUUAGAUACUGUAAUCUGCCACCUCCUUCAGCAGCUGUGUUGUCGUUCUAACCAGCACUCCAUACUAGCAGUAAUGUUGGUGAAUGCAUCACUCAUCCAUAAUUUAAUUGAGGGGACUGACCUGGCAUAUAUUAUCAUGACCUUUGUAGAUCACCUGAUCUCAAUUAGCUAUGUCCCCAGUGUACUUGGUUCAGCACCAGCAGAGACAGGAGAAUCAGGUUAUUUGGGCUGCCAUAAUGCAUUGGAAUUCCACUGCUUCUGUCAGGCAACCAGACUUCCUGGGGACCAAGAGUGAAGCUUGUACCUGGUGUUGGGCCAGAGAGUCAGAGUGAGUGUUCUUUUAGUGUUCCAUCCACUUCACUGCUCAGCAGUCUGCUUCUGCCAGCUCAGAGAAGAAAUUUCAGAAGUUCUGUUGGAAAACCCCCCAGAUGUGGUAUUGGGAGAUUUCAUCAUAAGUACCAAGGACACCUUGGUAGGUCCAACCUGCCUGAGCACCUUCUCAUGAGCAAUGUAAAUAGUCAUCCAAAUUUCUACAAUUGGAUAUGAGAAGACUUUUACUACCAAAACCUCCUUGCAUUAGUGGUGGUGUAUUGUCCGCAGUAACAGCAGCACCCCACAGAGCAUUAGGACACCCAAGGAAGCAUUUAUGUUGCUCCCUCAAAUACACUCUGCCCAAGUUUUUGAAUUUCUGGUAAUUUCUGAAUUACCUGUUUAAUUCAAAAUGACAGUGACCAUCCUACAAACCUAGGGAAUAAUAUGAUUGAUUCUUGAAACAGCAUUAUUCAAAACAUGAAAACAUUCAAGCAGGACGGCAUUAAAAAAAUAUACCCUGCAUUGCUAGAAUUGCUAAAAGCAUAUUUCAGUGUGAAAGUAAUGUCCCUUUAGCCCCAGUCUGUAUAUAAAAAGAGCAGGUUUUUGAGAUGUUAGCAAAUGUCUUGGUUUGCAAACUGUUCUUCCUCCUAUCAGUUUUGGCCACAUCUCUCAAAUAUGGUCCAUUCAAGACACCCCCCCCCAAAAAAAACCCGUAUUUCAUGUUACCUGGUCAUUUAUCCUUUCCUUUUAACAUACCUUUCUUCUGUCCUCUUUUGUGCCAAAUGUGAAGGGAAGCAAUAGCCAAAGGACUCCAUCUAUGAAGUCAAGCACAACUUCCCAUUUAACCUUGGAAGGAGGCCACAUGAUUGACAUUUCCAUUCCUAGAGUAGGUCCAAGCCAUUACAAGAGCCAACUAAAUUUCAUUUUGCCUUAUCUGCAGGUUAUCAUUCUUUCAAGAAUCAUCACAUUCUGACAGGAUCUUGAUUUAAGGUUUUCAACUCAGCUUGGCUCAAGCUGAAUUCACAAGGUCAAAAAGAUUCCAGGUUUGUUCGUAAUACAGAACCAGAAGAUGGAAUGCCAAUCCUUUCAAGGCCCUGGAAGUGGCUAGAUGUGUCUCAUAUUCCCAUUCUCAAUUAGGGCAAUUUUUAAGGCUGUCAGCUCACUCCCCCCGCCCCCCCAUGUGGGUCUUUUUUCUCUUCCUUCCACAUAUGAAACUUGUGGCUAAUUUUAUCACAUUUUCUUUUCCACAUCAUUUGAAAGUUUAAGAUAUUUCUGUAUUUUCAGUAUCAUACUAUUAUGAAGAAAAACAACUUUUUUUAGCGAGAGAAAGAGUUCUAAGUUGUUAACAAUAUUUUCUCUUUUCUCAAUAAAUGAAAGAAAGAAACAAAAUAACAAGGAAACUAGUGAAAAAGGCAUUUUGCUUGUAUUUCAUGCAUGUGGACCUGAAUAUUGCAAGGGGAACAAUGCAUAGAUCUAAUGUUAAAUGUGAAGAUAGCCCAACUGAUAUGAAAACAUAUACAAAGAAAAAGCAAGUGAAGUUCUGUUUAUUUUGAAAACUAAGAACAAGCAAUCCUGGGGCUGAUGAUCCCAUAAACUUGUAUUUAACCAUUAAAUGGCUAGGCAGAUCAAACCAAUUAAUACAUGUUAUCCUCUACAGAGCAAACAUUUGAUUGGGCUGUGUUAACCGAAGUGCUUUAAAAGCAAGAAAUUAAUUGUAUGUGUUUGCAGCAAGCAUUUGGGAAGAUGUGAAUGUAUAAUUUCUGCCUGGACAUUUGUUACACAUUUUAGUGAUGAGGGAGCACUUUGUAUUUUAAGGAUGCAUCACAGAGAAAUUAUUGGUGAACAUAGUGCAUUUUAUGCAUGCAUCAGGCAGAAAUUCUUAACUAUGUACUUAGUAUAACUAGGUACUAAGUAUUGGGGGGCGGGAUGCACCAGUAGAAUAUUUUAUAUUUUUCCCAUUCCACACCUCUCAAACUAAAUUAUGCUUUCUGUGAGAUGAGGGAGAAUUCCAAAACAGCAGAAGACACAUGGACGUUUUCAGAUAAAAUUCCCUUUGAUAUUCUCAUAAGAGUUUUGGCUCUUUAUUUUUCACUUAAUAAAUUAACCACUUAAUAGGUAUAAGAUAUUAGCUUCAGUUGCAUGGACUCCAUGUGCCUAUUCCAGUGAAAAGACAAAUCCUUUCCAAAUCUGUUCCAGUACAGUGGUACCUCUGGUUACGUACUUAAUUCGUCCCGGAGGUCCGUUCUUAACCUGAAACUGUUCUUAACCUGAAGCAUCACUUUAGCUAAUGGGGCCUGCUGCUGCUGCUGCUGCUGCUGCCGCCGCGCCACCGCUGCACGAUUUCUGUUCUCAUCCUGAAGCAAAGUUCUUAACCCAAGGUACUAUUUCUGGGUUAGCAGAGUCUGUAACCUGAAGCAUAUGUAACCCGAGGUACCACUGUAAACAUACAAAUCUGAGAGUUGGGUCCACCAUUCUGCCAAGGUAGAGGUUAGGCUUGAACACAAGAUUCCAUACUACAUUCAUAUUGCUGUCAUUAACACCUGCAAUUUCCCAGCAUUCUGGAACUUGAGUCAACAUGGAAAACUCCAUAACACAACAUGCUGAACUGUGUUUUCUUAAUUUAAUAGAACACUUUCUGUUCUAUUAAUAAACAAGCCAUAGAAUGACGCACAACGGACCACCAGCAGCAGCAUUUUAAACUUUUGGAUGAACAAGAUAUGCUUUUUUUCAUUGAAUUGCUGAUGGACCAGGGCUGGAAUUGGAUACCAAUAUUAAUUUCAGUGCCCACAUUAGUCUGCAAGAGUGGUCAGUUCAUCCUAUUCAGUCUUCAGGAUUCAUUAAUUAAAACUAUAUGGUCUAUUGAUCGAUCCUUUGAACAAAUCUUCAGCAAGACUGGAUUGAAAUGAAGAUUUAUUACAAUGUCUGCAAAUGAUCCAGUAUCUUUCACUGUUACACCUGCACUCUACUGAAUAUUUUUUCUAAAUAUGUUCAGGCCAUCAUCCAUCAUUUUAUCCUUAGAAUUGGAACCAGCUCACACAUACAUGUGCUUCACUUGACCUAUCAUGAUCUUCUUGUUCACUCAAUGAAUGUGUGAAAUGUCUUCUUUUCAAGAGUAUUAUUUCCAAGUUAGCACCAAGUGAUCUGUGUAAUUUGUGAGCACUCAUUAGCACAUAAAAAAGCUAUUGCUUACUUUUACAGAAAGCCAGUGUGGCACAGUGGUUGGAAUGUAGGAAUAUGACCAGGGAAGCCUGCUCUCAAAUCCCUAGGCAGGAAGAACUAGCUGCACAGUUAUGAGAUGGGGGCACCUGGCUUACCAGUAGUACAUGUAAAACGGAUGUAGGGCACUUAGAUCCCAAACUUUAUGUGAGUCAACAGUGUGAUGCAUCAAUAAAAAAAAAAGUUAAUGCCAUUCUAGGCUGCAUCAGCAGAGGUAUAGUGUCCUGAUCAAGGGAAGUAAUAGUACUAAUUUAUUCUGCCUUGUUCAGAUCCCACCUGGAGUACUGUGUCCAGUUCUGGGCCCCACAAUUUUAGAAGAACGUAUGCAGAGGAGGGUGACCAAGCUUUAUGAGGAACAUUUGAGGGAUUAGGAAAAGUGCUGUCACAUGAAAGAUGAGCAAGCUUGUUUUGGCCUACAUUGGAGGCUAGGUCUUGAACUGAUAGCUUCAAGUUAGAAGAAAGGAGAUUCCCACUAAACUUCAGGUCAAACUUUGGCACUGGUUCAGCAUUCAAUCUCUUCACUCUAGAUAAAUCCCCCCCAUAGAAUUUUUUUUGGGGGGGAUUGUAGUCAAUUUGUGGAAAUUAUAUGAAUUUGAAUUAUGAAGGAAAAGGUAGGGCAAUCUUAAUCCCUGACUCUCCCAAAUUUAGUCAAAUUACAUCACUUGGAGUUUUCAAAGAACAGUAGGUAAGGUGGCUAUCACAAAAAAGCUGGCCGCCUUCUUGUUACUGUAACCCAAGCAGUGGAAAUGAUAAAAGAAUACAGGGCAUUAUUUGCUAGAAAGUCAUUAUUUCCCUUUUCACUUCAUAAAUUCCUGGGAUGCUUUGUAACCUUCUGUUUUUCCUCCAGUUCUUUUGCUGAUUUUGUUGAAAGCUGAACGAAUCCACCAGGUACAAAUAACCUGGCUGUAGUUUUAUUCUUUUCUUUCAGAGCCACAAUUGCUUCAUGAAAAUAGAAAAACUGUAACACAGCAUUGCAGGACUCUAUAUCAUUUUGACUCUGAUGGCCUGUUUCAGGUAUUUCGACAAAGAACUUUGGUGAGCUAUUCGAUGCUCAAUAAUAAGUAACAAAUAGUGUGAUUCAGUGAAUUUGUUUUCCUUAGAAACGGCUGACUGCAGUCUUUUAUUUGAAAUGUUAGGUAAAGGCAGCGCUGCAGACAAACAUUCCAUGAUCCUUGAUAUACUGAACAGAUGACCUGGAGAAACUGCCUACCACAAUGAAGGAUAUUAUGGCUGAAUUUUCCAAAAGCAUGUUGUACAAAGUAUGGAUGUGGAUUCACAUGACCAGGCUAAACCACAAUGCAACUUUUGCUCACAGUAGAUAUAAGAUUAAAUGCUUUAACAUAUGCACAAGCUGGAACUCAAACUAUGCUUGCCAGCUCUUUUUGCAGGGAGAUGAUUGUCAU